CACAAGCCACAUUAAUUGGUUGACCAACACUAUCUCGACCUUGAACUACCAGAGCGUUAUAAAUAUUUGGCAUCUUGCCCGGGGGAAAGGCUACAUCUAGUACCGGACCGAUGAUUUGGACGACACGCCCCGGGUUUUUUUUUUUCAAGCGUGGAAACCCCAGAACCAGAAGUAGUAGGAUUGAUUCUCAUAAUAAUAAAAUAAAUAUGUCGAAAUGUUUUUUCCAAAAUUAUCGAAUUCAAAAAAAAUGUCCGCUAGCACGUCGAUCGGUUAAUUCAAUAAAAUCGGAAUUAGCACUCGAUUUCGUUGGCACCAUGCAAUUGAACCAAUCCAAUUGUUUACUUAUUCAAUGAGACUGAGUUAAUUUGGCAGCUCACCCAACCUAUUUUCAUUUAACAAUCUCAAGUGGAUGAAUCAAAAUCUUGAGAAAGUCUUUCAUUUGUCUACCAUUAUAGACAAGCCCAUCCAUAUUAUCGAUUCUAUGGAAUUCGAACCUGAACUUUAUUUUCUAUUUCUAUUACGAUUCAUUAUUUGUAUCUAAUGGGCUCCUCUUCUUAUUUCUUUUUUAUUUCAAUUUCAGCAUAUCGAUUUAUGCCUAGCCUAUUCUUUUCUUUGCGUUUUUCUUUCUUUUUUAUACCUUUCAUAGAUUCAUAGAGGAAUUCCAUAUAUUUUCACAUCUAGGAUUUACAUAUACAACAUAUACCACUGUCAAGGGGGAAGUUCUUAUUAUUUAGGUUAGCUAGGUAUUUCCAUUUCAAAAAAAAAAAAGAUAAAAAAUCAAAAUUGGGUUGCGCUAUAUAUAUGAAAGAGUAUACAAUAAUGAUGUAUUUGGCAAAUCAAAUACCAUGGUCUAAUAAUCAACCAUUCUGAUUAAUUGAUAAUAUUAGUAUUAGUUGGAAAUUUUGUGACAGAUUCCUGUGAAAAGUUUCAUUAACGCGGAAUUCAUGUCGAGUAGACCUUGUUGUUGUGAUAAUUUUUAAUUCAUGAGUUCUAGGGAGGGAUUUAUGUCACCACAAACAGAGACUAAAGCAAGUGUUGGAUUCAAAGCUGGUGUUAAAGAGUACAAAUUGACUUAUUAUACUCCUGAGUACCAAACCAAGGAUACUGAUAUAUUAGCAGCAUUCCGAGUAACUCCUCAACCUGGAGUUCCACCUGAAGAAGCAGGGGCCGCGGUAGCUGCCGAAUCUUCUACUGGUACAUGGACAACUGUAUGGACCGAUGGACUUACCAGUCUUGAUCGUUACAAAGGGCGAUGCUACCGCAUCGAGCGCGUUGUUGGAGAAAAAGAUCAAUAUAUUGCUUAUGUAGCUUACCCUUUAGACCUUUUUGAAGAAGGUUCCGUUACCAAUAUGUUUACUUCCAUUGUAGGUAACGUAUUUGGGUUCAAAGCCCUGCGCGCUCUACGUCUGGAAGAUCUGCGAAUCCCUCCUGCUUAUGUUAAAACUUUCCAAGGUCCGCCUCAUGGGAUCCAAGUUGAAAGAGAUAAAUUGAACAAGUAUGGUCGUCCCCUGUUGGGAUGUACUAUUAAACCUAAAUUGGGGUUAUCUGCAAAAAACUACGGUAGAGCUGUUUAUGAAUGUCUUCGCGGUGGACUUGAUUUUACCAAAGAUGAUGAGAACGUGAACUCACAACCAUUUAUGCGUUGGAGAGAUCGUUUCUUAUUUUGUGCCGAAGCACUUUUUAAAGCACAGACUGAAACAGGUGAAAUCAAAGGGCAUUACUUGAAUGCUACUGCAGGUACAUGCGAAGAAAUGAUCAAAAGAGCUGUAUUUGCUAGAGAAUUGGGCGUUCCGAUCGUAAUGCAUGACUACUUAACGGGGGGAUUUACCGCAAAUACUACCUUGGCUCAUUAUUGCCGAGAUAAUGGUCUACUUCUUCACAUCCACCGUGCAAUGCAUGCGGUUAUUGAUAGACAGAAGAAUCAUGGUAUCCACUUCCGGGUAUUAGCAAAAGCGUUACGUAUGUCUGGUGGAGAUCAUAUUCACUCUGGUACCGUAGUAGGUAAACUUGAAGGUGAAAGAGACAUAACUUUGGGCUUUGUUGAUUUACUGCGUGAUGAUUUUGUUGAACAAGAUAGAAGUCGCGGUAUUUAUUUCACUCAAGAUUGGGUCUCUUUACCAGGUGUUCUACCUGUGGCUUCAGGAGGUAUUCACGUUUGGCAUAUGCCUGCUCUGACCGAGAUCUUUGGGGAUGAUUCCGUACUACAGUUCGGUGGAGGAACUUUAGGACAUCCUUGGGGUAAUGCGCCAGGUGCCGUAGCUAAUCGAGUAGCUCUAGAAGCAUGUGUAAAAGCUCGUAAUGAAGGACGUGAUCUUGCUCGGGAAGGUAAUGAGAUUAUUCGCGAGGCUUGCAAAUGGAGCCCGGAACUAGCUGCUGCUUGUGAGGUAUGGAAAGAGAUCGUAUUUAAUUUUGCAGCAGUGGACGUUUUGGAUAAGUAAAAACAGUAGACAUUAGCAGAUAAAUUAGCAGGAAAUAAAGAAGGAUAAGGAGAAAGAACUCAAGUAAUUAUCCUUCGUUCUCUUAAUUGAAUUACAUUACAAUUUAAUUCGGCUCAAUCCUUUUAGUAAAAGAUUGGGCCGAAUACAACUAAGAUUCUAUUGCAUAUAUUUUGAUCAAGAUUUGAAAUACAAAAUCUAGAAAACUAAAUCAAAAUCUAAGACUCAAAUCUUUCUAUUAUUGUCUUGGAUCCACAAUUAAUCCUACGGAUCCUUAGGAUUGGUAUAUUCUUUUCUAUCCUGUAGUUUGUAGUUUCCCUGAAUCAAGCCAAGUAUUCCAACUCUUUCUACCCAUCCUGUAUAUUGUCCCCUUUGUUCCGUGUUGAAAUAGAACCUUAAUUUAUUACUUAUUAUUAGAUUUUAGAUUGUUAGAUUAGUUAGUGAUUAGAUAUUAGUAUUAGACGAGAUUUUACGAAUUUUUUUUAUUUCUUUAUAUUUAUAAGAGAGGACAAAUCUCUUUUUUUCGAUGCGAAUUUGACACGACAUAGGAGAAGCCGCCCUUUAUCAAAAAUUCUAUUAUUUUUAUAUUCUUUUUAAUAAUAAAAGGGGGUUCCAACAUAUUAAUAUAUAGUGAAGUGUUCCCCCAGAUUCAGAACUUUUUUUGAAUACUCACAAUCCGUAUUAGUUAAUAAUCCUAGUGAUUGGAUUUCUAUGCUUAGUCUGAUAGGAAAUAAGAUAUUCAAAUAAAGAAUUUUAUAGCGAAUGACUAUUCAUCUAUUGUAUUUUCAUGCAAAUAGGGGGCAAGAAAACUCUAUGGAAAGAUGGUGGUUUAAUUCGAUGUUGUUUAAGAAGGAGUUCGAACGCAGGUGUGGGCUAAAUAAAUCAAUGGGCAGUCUUGGUCCUAUUGAAAAUACCAGUGAAGAUCCAAAUCUAAAAGUGAAAAACAUUCAUAGUUGCAGUAAUGUUGAUUAUUUAUUCGGCGUUAAAGACAUUUGGAAUUUCAUCUCUAAUGACACUUUUUUAGUUAGUGAUAGGAAUGGGGACAGUUAUUCCAUCUAUUUUGAUAUUGAAAAUCAUAUUUUUGAGGUUGACAACGAUCAUUCUUUUCUGAGUGAACUAGAAAGUUCUUUUUAUAGUUAUCGAAACUCGAGUUAUCUGAAUAAUGGAUUUAGGGGCGAAGAUCCCUACUAUAAUUCUUACAUGUAUGAUACUCAAUAUAGUUGGAAUAAUCACAUUAAUAGUUGCAUUGAUAAUUAUCUUCAGUCUCAAAUCUGUAUAGAUACUUCCAUUAUAAGUGGUAGUGAGAGUAACGGUGACAGUUACAUUUAUAGGGCCAUUUGUAGUGGUCAAAGUCUAAAUAGUAGUGAAAACGAGGGUUCCAGUAGACGAACUCGCACAAAGGACAGUGAUUUAACUAUAAGAGAAAGUUCUAAUGAUCUCGAGGUAACUCAAAAAUACAAGCAUUUGUGGGUUCAAUGCGAAAAUUGUUAUGGAUUAAAUUAUAAGAAAUUUUUGAAAUCAAAAAUGAAUAUUUGUGAACAAUGUGGAUAUCAUUUGAAAAUGAGUAGUUCGGAUAGAAUUGAACUUUUGAUCGAUCCGGGUACUUGGGAUCCUAUGGAUGAAGACAUGGUCUCGCUGGAUCCCAUUGAAUUUCAUUCGGAGGAGGAGCCUUAUAAGGACCGUAUUGAUUCUUAUCAAAGAAAGACAGGAUUAACCGAGGCUGUUCAAACAGGCAUAGGCCAACUAAACGGCAUUCCCGUAGCAAUUGGGGUUAUGGAUUUUCAGUUUAUGGGGGGUAGUAUGGGAUCCGUAGUCGGAGAGAAAAUCACCCGUUUGAUUGAACACGCUGCCAAUCAAAAUUUACCUCUUAUGAUAGUGUGUGCUUCUGGGGGGGCGCGCAUGCAGGAAGGAAGUUUGAGCUUGAUGCAAAUGGCUAAAAUAUCGUCUGCUUUAUAUGAUUAUCAAUUAAAUAAAAAAUUAUUUUAUGUAUCAAUCCUUACAUCUCCGACAACUGGUGGAGUGACAGCUAGUUUUGGUAUGUUGGGGGAUAUCAUUAUUGCCGAACCCAAUGCCUACAUUGCAUUUGCAGGUAAAAGAGUAAUUGAACAAACAUUGAAUAAAACAGUACCCGAAGGUUCACAAGCAGCUGAAUACUUAUUCCAGAAGGGUUUAUUCGACCUAAUUGUACCACGUAAUCUUUUAAAAAGCGUUCUGAGUGAGUUAUUUAAGCUCCACGCCUUUUUUCCUUUGAAUCAAAAGUCAAGCAAAAUCAAGUAGAGCACUAAGUUCAAUUAUUUUUUUUGUGUUUGUAGCAAAAAGUAGUUAGUUUAUCGGAAUCAAAGUAAAUAAGAUAAUAAUGGCCUUUUCUUUGGUGAUAGAAGAUCGAAUUGUAGAAAGAAUUAAAACGAAAGUUGAGGAUAACUCUUUUUUUGACCUAUAUUCCUGAUUACGAAUCAAGAAACCUUUAUCACCAAGAGUGAGUUCUUCCUUUCGUGAAAUUAGUAAAAUAAAACGAAUUUGGUCUUGUCUUAGGUAUAUAAUUUGAAAUUUCAAUAGAGAUAAUAGAGUUUUGUAUCUUUCUCUAUCUACCGAAAAACCAUUUUAGCUAAAAAUCCAUGUUGGGUCGGAUUCGAAUGAAUCCGUCGAUAAUCUGUAAAAAACUCUUUAUCUAUUUUUAGAAAAGUAGAAGACAAGAACAAAAGACAAAGAAAUGAAGAAAAAUAAUAAAGUUUAUUAUCAUACAUAUCUUUCUCAUGGAGGAGAUGAAUAAGUCCAUUUAUUUAGUUCUACAGUUCUACAUUCUUUGCACUUAUUCUUAUUAUACGUACUCAGUUAGAUUUAGAUAUAUCGAUACUUCGAUCUAUACUAAGAAUUUCAAAUUCUUCAAAUUCUAUUAAUAAUAAAUAUUAUCUAAUAUCUAAUUAGAAUUCAAAUUCUUAAUUUAAUUAUAAUUAUUACAAGAUAUCUUUAUUUAUAUAAUAACAUAAUAACAGAUACAAAUAGUAAAUCGAGGUACCCCUUCUAUGACAAAUUUGAACCUUCCAUCUAUUUUUGUGCCGUUAGUAGGCCUAGUCUUUCCGGCAAUUGCAAUGGCUUCUUUAUUUCUUCAUGUUCAAAAAAACAAGAUUGUUUAGAUCCGCUGGGACCCAAUCUCAUCCAUUUUUUUUUUUGAAAACGUGGACUUGUAUCAUAACACGGAUAUCUAUUUAUUGGAGUAUAGUAUAACAUGUGAUUUCCACCGAACAUAAAGGAAAAAACUCUUAUGCCCGCAGAAACAUGAUAUAUGGAUAUAUCAAUUCUAGCAAUUUUCAAAUAGAUCAGGAUCUCUGGAUGGCUGAAAUGUAGUCGGUGAAUCUAUAUGUAUAUCGAUAUGUAUAGUGGGAUCGUAUUAAAUAAAGAGUAUGUUAUUAUUUUAGAUUUAACCAAUUUGAUGAAUUACUCCUAAAGGUUGACAUCAAACUAGUGCUAGUUCACCUCAAACUAGUGCUAGUUGAUGAGAGUUACUUCGGAAACAAAAAAGUAAAGUCAAAUUUUUCUGGGGUAUUAUCUCAAUUCCAAUAAAAUGCAAUCGAGUAAAGUAUGACUUGGCGAUCAGACGAUAUAUGGAUAGAACUUAUAACGGGGUCUCGAAAAAUAAGUAAUUUCUGCUGGGCCUUGAUCCUUUUUUAGGUUCAUUAGGCUUCUUAUUAGUUGGAACUUCCAGUUAUCUUGGUAGAAAUUUGCUAUCUUUUUUUCCGCCUCAGCAAAUCAUUUUUUUUCCACAAGGAAUCGUGAUGUCUUUCUACGGAAUUGCGGGUCUCUUUAUUAGCUCUUAUUUGUGGUGCACAAUUUCCUGGAAUGUAGGUAGUGGUUAUGAUCGAUUCGAUAGAAAGGAGGGAAUAGUCUGUAUCUUUCGUUGGGGAUUUCCGGGAAAAAAUCGUCGCAUAUUCCUCCGAUUCCUUAUAAAAGAUAUUCAGUCCGUUAGAAUAGAAGUUAAAGAGGGUAUUUAUGCUCGUCGUGUUCUUUAUAUGGACAUCCGAGGCCAGGGGUCCAUUCCCUUGACCCGUACUGAUGAGAAUUUGACUCCACGAGAAAUUGAACAAAAGGCUGCUGAAUUAGCCUAUUUCUUGCGUGUACCAAUUGAAGUAUUUUGAUAAAUUGAGAAUCAGAACGUUCAUUCAAUUAAAGAAAACGUAUAUGAAAGAACCAUAAAACGAAACUCUUUUUAUGGUCUUUAUGUGCACGCAAUUCAAUAACAAAUAACAAAUCGAAAUAAUAGAUUCAUCUCAGACGGCAAACCAUUUCGAAAGCAAGAAUUUUUUUUAGUUCAAUAUUUGUUGGAAUUGACACUUUAGAUCCAGAUAGAUCGUAUCUUGUAAAUUUGAAAUUCUUUCUUUUGUAUUCUUUAAUGACCAACAAUUGGAUUUCUUAAUUAAAUACUGAGAACUAGCCAAUUUAUCCUUUGCUAGUCAUUUUUUUUUUAUCAUCCUAAUAUCUUUCCCUCAAUUAUUCUAUUCCUGACUAUGGGUAAUCAAUGAAAUUUUUUCGAAAUAUUGGAUAUUUUGAUAGCAAAGGAGUUCUUUCGUCUCAAAAUCUGAAUAAUAUUCAUUACUUAAAGUGGUUCUUUCGGUCAUUCAUCGAAAGGAUACACUUAAUUUUUAAUUUGACCAAUUGAGAUAUCAGGAAACAAUAUUCUCAAUUUCUUCAUUCGAAGUGAAUUCUUAGCCUAUUUCUGUAUUCUUUCUAGAUUCAAAGACUAACCACAAAAUCACAAAGAAAAUAGAUUCAUAAGUUCGAUACCUUGUAUAAAACUCAUGUGUGUAAGAAAUAUUCGAUCGCAUAGAGUGUACGAAUGGGUUGAUUAACAAUUUACAGACGAAAAAAUGGCAAAAAAGAAAGCAUUCACUCCUCUUUUCUAUCUUGCAUCUAUAGUAUUUUUGCCCUGGUGGAUUUCUUUCUCAGUUAAUAAAUGGCUGGAAUCUUGGGUUACUAAUUGGUGGAAUACUGGGCAAUCCCAAAUUGUCUUGAAUAAUAUUCAAGAAAAGAGUCUUCUAGAAAAAUUCAGAGAAUUAGAGGAACUCCUCUUCUUGGACGAAAUGAUCAAGGAAUACUCGGAAACACAUCUCGAAGAGUUUGGGAUAGGAAUCCAUAAAGAAACGAUCCAAUUAAUCACGAUACAAAAUGAGAAUCGUAUGGAUACGAUUUUGCACUUCUCAACAAUAUAAUCUGGUUUGGUAUUCUAAGCGGGUAUUCAAUUUUGGGUAAGGAAAACUUGUUAUCUUAACUCCUUGGGCUCAGGAAUUCCUAUAUAACUUAAGUGACACAGCAAAAGCUUGUGUAUUCUUCUAGUAAGUGAGUUUUUUCUCGGAUAUCAUUCACCCCCCAGGUUGGGAAUUCGUUAUACGCUAUAUCUAAACGAGGGUUGGAGUUGUUGCGAAUGAGCAACUAUAACUAUUCUUGUUUUGCAAUCCUUCCGUAAUUUUUGAUACAUGGUUUUCAUAUGGCUUUUCGUUAUUUAACUAUUCUGUCCUCCGGCAUUUUACUGCUUUAAUGAUUCAAUACUGAAGAUAAAGGAAGCCAUUAUAUUAAUCUAAUNNNNNNNNNNNNNNNNNNNNNNNNNNNNNNNNNNNNNNNNNNNNNNNNNNNNNNNNNNNNNNNNNNNNNNNNNNNNNNNNNNNNNNNNNNNNNNNNNNNNNNNNNNNNNNNNNNNNNNNNNNNNNNNNNNNNNNNNNNNNNNNNNNNNNNNNNNNNNNNNNNNNNNNNNNNNNNNNNNNNNNNNNNNNNNNNNNNNNNNNNNNNNNNNNNNNNNNNNNNNNNNNNNNNNNNNNNNNNNNNNNNNNNNNNNNNNNNNNNNNNNNNNNNNNNNNNNNNNNNNNNNNNNNNNNNNNNNNNNNNNNNNNNNNNNNNNNNNNNNNNNNNNNNNNNNNNNNNNNNNNNNNNNNNNNNNNNNNNNNNNNNNNNNNNNNNNNNNNNNNNNNNNNNNNNNNNNNNNNNNNNNNNNNNNNNNNNNNNNNNNNNNNNNNNNNNNNNNNNNNNNNNNNNNNNNNNNNNNNNNNNNNNNNNNNNNNNNNNNNNNNNNNNNNNNNNNNNNNNNNUUAUGGUGGUCCACACUACCUUAGAGAAUUAUUUAUUCAAAAUUUCUACUAUUAUCAAAGAAUCAAUCGAUUAGUGACAUCCAAAAAAAUAAUGAAUAUAGUUGGAUGAUAAGUAUUGUACUCAGCCUUAUCAACUUAGGGGUUCAAAUUUGGAUUUGAAGUUAAUUAAUUAUCCUCAAAGUAGGAUCAAUCUAUAUUAAUCAUUAUUAAAAGAAAUAAUUAUCUCCUUAAAAUACAUAAACAACAAAAUAUGUCUUUUUUUAAAAGGUAACAUUGUGUAUAUUCUUUGAAACCAGUGCUUGGGUUUCACUAACCAUAUUUACAGCUUGUCAAAAAGUAAGAAAAACUAAAUUGGAAUCCUAACAGGAACCUAUGAUAUUCUAAUGGAUUCAGUGUCCUCUAAAUACAGUUACUUGCAUCAGAAACAAAAAAGCCUGAUACAAUUUAGUUUGACCGUUUGGAGAUCAUAAUUCUUACUCUCAAGCAUCUAGCAUUGCUUUAUUUCUAAACACUCCACAAAUACAAGCUGGGACAAUCCUCCAUCUAUGUCUAUCUGCAACUCAUACCCCUACUUCUCCCCAACUAUACAAAAGAUGAGUGAUUCUGUUAGGCAUAGCCCAAGCAAAACCCCUGAGACUAAUGAAAAUCAUCCAUAGUUGGAUGUUAUUCUGCACUGGAUAAACAGAUGAUUGACUGUCUCAACCUCUUCCCCACAUAAAUAGCAUCUAUAAUACAUGGAGAACUUCCUUUUCUUGAGAUUUUCAUGUGUUAAAAUUGCUUCUCUUGCCAGAAGUCAAUUGAAACUCACACCUUGAAAGGGAUUUUAGGUUUCCAAAUCUUCUACCAAGGACAAAGAGAAGGUUGUUGCCAUCUUGAUUUAGCAACUUAUAUGCAGAGUUUACCUUGAAUGUGCCUUUUUUAUUUUUUUUCUCCACCAUAAUAUAUCAUGUUCAUACCCUUGUUCCUGUAAAAGCUUCCAACCUACAAAUAAAAUCCGACACGGUCUCGAUUUCUCAGUCAUUGAAAUUCCUUCUAAACUUGUAAUUCCAUUCAUGCUGUGUCCAAACCUCAGCUAUACUCACUUGUUUAUUCACUGCGAAGUCAUGCAUCUCCGAAAAAAAUACUCUACAAGCUAAAGUUGUCCAACUAUUUAUCCUCCCAAAAUGAAGUCUUGAUUCCAUUGCCUACCCUAUUAGUCCUAUUCAUCUUCGAGAGAGGCAAAAGAUUCUGAUGGACUUCCAUAGGCUUACCCCAUAUAGUGUAAGUACCUCUUUUGUCAUCCAUUUGUUCUCUUAUCCAUAUUUUGCUUGAAUUACUUACUCCAAGACCUUCAUGUUUCUUCCCACAGAGAAACUUGUUCCACUUAGAUAAAUGUUUUACAAUGGAUUCAUUUUACUUUGUCCCUUUCCAUAAGAAAUCCCUCCUAAUUUUGUCAAGUCUUUGUAUCACCCCGUUAGGAAUAGGGAAGAUGGACAUCAUGUAAGUAGGUAAGGCAUCCAAAACAGAAUUAAUGAGAGUGAUUCUGCCUCCCAAGGAGAUAUAUUUAUAUAUCCAUCCCGUAAGUUUUUUCUCACACUUUUCAAUCACUAAGUUCCAAUGUUCCAAGCCUUCGAUUUGGAUCCUAAGGGCAUGCCCAGAUAAAUGGUAGGCAAAGAACCUACUUCCCCUCCCAAAAUCCAUUAUAGUUCCUCCAUAUUAUAAACAUCAUUAAUAGGAUACAACUGACUCUUUCUCCAGUUGAUAUGUAAACUUGAAACUCCUUCAAACAACACCAAAAUUGAUCUUAGAACCAAAAGUUGUCCCUCAUUAGCAUCACGAAAUAUUAAGGUGUGAUCUGCAUGCUGUAAAUGAGUGACUUCCAUGUGGCCAUUUGAUAUUGAGGUUUGAGUUGUGGCUACCUCAAAACUCCUGAUGCAUUCGUUCUCUCUAGCCACCUUUAUCAUGUUAUUUGGGCCCCCCAUAACAAUGAUAAAAAGGAAAGGAUAUAGGGGAUCUCCCUGCCUCAGACCCCUUUGAGCAGGGAAAAAACUUUGCGGUGAACCAUUUAUAAGGACUGAGAAUCUGACAGUGGAGAUGCAAUACUUGAUCCACUGAAUCCACCAUCUUCCAAAACCCAUACAUGCAAAAAUAUUUGACAAAAACUUCCAGUUCACAUGGCCAUAUGCCUUUUCUAUGUCCAAUUUGCACAAAUUUCCUGCCUUUCCUUGGGUUAUUCUUGAAUCUACUACUUUGUUUGCAAUUAGAAUGGCAUCCAUUAUUUGUCGAUUUUUUAUGAAUGCCAUCUGUUGAGCAUCCACUAGCUUGUCAACCACUUUCUUCAGACUUUCAGUCGACACUUUGGAUAACAACUUAUAUACACUUCUAAUGAGGCUGAUGGGCCUAAAAUCUCUCAGUUCCUUGGCACCAUUCUUCUUGGGAUCAAAGCAAUGUAGGUGGCAUUAAAGCUCUUAUCAAAGAUAUUGUGAGAAUGGAAAUUCUUAAAGGUAUCUAUGAUAUCCUUCUUCACUAAAUCCUAACACUUGAUAAAAAAAAACCAUUGUGUAACCAUCUGGACCAAGAGCUUUGUCCAUAGCACACAUCUUGAGACAUACUAGUACUUCUUACUCUUCAAACCACCUUUGUAGCAUUUCAUUUUCAGCUUCAGUUACCAUUGGACAAUUGAUUAGGUUGCUGGAAGGUCUUCUAUAUGGGGUUUCUAAAUAAAGCUUCUAACAAAAACCAAUAAUCUCCCCUUUAAUUCUCUCUGGGUUCUUCACUAUUUCAUCUUGAAUUAUUAAUUGAUGAAUGUUGUUGCAUCUUUUUUGUGCAUUGGCAACUUUGUACAAAUAGUUGGUAUUUUUGUCCCCCUCUUUCAGCCACAAAGCUCUAGAUCUUUAUCUCCAUGCUAUCUCUUCAUUUUUAAGAUAUUCUUCCUAGUUCAUAAUCAAAGAUGCCUCGAUUGGAGAUUCUUCUUCUGACAGGACUCGAUUUUCCAUUACCGCAUCCUGCAUAGCUAAUUGACUUAGGAUUUAAACCUUUUGUAACCCUAGAUUGCCAAAGCUGGUUGUACUCAAUUCCUUCAAUUUUCCUUUUAAAGCCUUGAUCAUACACCCAAGGAUAUAAUCAGGCUUACAGUGAAUACAAAAGACUCCCACCAUCCUUUAAUUUUUUCAACAAAACCCUCUGUGUUGAGCCACCAAUUAUCAAACUUGAAAUACGAUUUGUUUUGCUCCUAAGAUCCACAUUGUAGAGCAAUGGGACUGUGAUCUGAGCACAUCUCUAUAACACCGCUUGUUAAAUUCUGCUAAAGUUGGCAUCCCACUCCUUGGAUAUCAAAAUCUUAUCAAUUCUAGAAGCAACAAUGUUAUUUCCCCCUUUAAACCAAGUGUAGUUACCCCCUACCAAUUGUAAGUACACCAUGUCCAUAUCUUCAAUCAAAUCAGAGAACUCUAUUAUAUCUAAAGUUCUCCUUUUGCAAUUUCUCUUUUCUGAUGGAUAUCUUAUGAUGUUGAAAUAUCCACAUACUGCCCAAGGUCCCUCAAAAACACUUCUAACAACACCUAUUUCCUCCCGCACAUGCUCUCUCUCAACUCUGCCAUUAAGAGCAUAGACUCCUGUUAUGUGGCAAUUGAAAUCCUGAAACACUGACUCAAACUUGCAGGUGAGGGUGUAGGAACCUGUUUCCAACACUUCCUCUUUCCAUGAUCUCCUGUCCCAUAACAUCAAAUUGUCCCCCCUAGUGCCACUUGCUUGUUAACAAGCAUACUUAACCCAUAUAUCUUUUAUUAUAUCAUGGAUCUCCCCCUCUAACUUUGACUCUUGUAGACAUACAAUGUCAGCCUUCUAGUUGGAGAUUAAACUCUUCACAAAUCUCCUCUUAUCCCCACUAUUUAGUCCCCUAACAUUCCAAGAUAAAAGUUUUGCAUUCAUUAUAAAACUUGUCCUCUUUCCCACCUAUCUCUCUUCUCCUCACAUUUGAAAUUAAUAUCAAAGAAGUCAUCCUUUUCAGUUCAUGAACCCCAUUGUACCUAGGCCUUUUUCCAAUACAAUAACUUUCCAUCUUUCUAGCUUGUCUUCAACUGUUUAUUUGAAUAAGUAGCUCUACAGAUUCCUCUUCAUGUCCUUAUAAAUCCACACCAAACAUUUUCCCCAGCUUGAUAAGAUUAUGUCUUACCCACAUAGAUGUCUCCUUCUCUUUUUGUACAGCGGAGCUCAUGUCAUUUUGUAUGGGAUACGAUCCUCCACCACCCACUCUUAAAUUUGUUUGUCAGUCUGCAUGCUUGAUGUGUUAUUUUGACCAUUCUAAAUUUCCUGAAAUAAAUUUGCUUUAACACUGCUAACCUCCAUUGCCAUCGUUUUGGGGGAUCUGAAGCAUUUCCUAAAUUUUUAAUUGAGUUCCCAUUUUAUGUAUGCCGUUCCUUUGUUGUAGUAUCAAGUUGUAGAAGAGUGCUCCUAAGAACUGGAGCAUGGUCCUCUAUUUCAAAGCAUAAAGGAUCAAUAAAGGCUACCUCAAUUGGGCCUGAUAAGUCAUUUAAAAUGCUAUUUGCUUUAUCACGCCCAAUCUUUUUUUUAGUAUUGUCCCAGCCCAAAAAGUUUCUCAAACAUACUUGGGUCUCCACUUCCUCAGCACAUGAGUGUGUGGUCUCAUUUAAAAAGACUCCAUUUGUAUCUGGGAGCCCCAUGUGCCCCAUUUGCACACCUUCUCAAUUUUUCAAAAAGUUUUGUCAUUUCUCUGUAGGAGACAACUCAAUUACCUGUUGGUCCAAAGAUAGUGGCAGACCUCCAGUUUCUUUGCUACACUCUCCUAGCUUCAGCAUGACUAGAUGGUGAUUUACUUCUACAGUCGGCGUCAAGAUUUGGAAUAAAACUUUCCUCUCUACCCAAAUUGGGAUAAAAAAAUUUAUCCCAUCUCUCUCAAUCAAAAUCUCGCUCGAGCAGUUUUUUCCAUCUCACGAAUUUUAAUUAUUUCCUACUUUAAAUGGUUCUUCAAAUCCGUCUCCUCCUAUGUGUCGACCCAUCCUCCGCAAAGAUUUCCAAUUUCUGUAAAGAUUCUUUGUGACCAGAAUUAUAGAGGUACUCUAAAGCUCUAAUCCAAGUGGGUUUGGAUUUUUGAUUGGAAUAUUCACAUUUUACUACUGGGUUCAACCACUAAAGAUUAAAUUUGAUAUUCUCCCACCUCCACUCCUUCUGAAUGAUUUGUUCUGCCAUGUGCCUGUAUGGAAAUUCGACGAGGAACAUGUUGUUGGCUAUCUCGUUAAUGUUGAUCCCAAACACUCCUUUCCAAGAGACCGCAAUCAUCUCUUGAUUUCUGAUAAAGAGGGAAGUUGUGUUUCUCCCUCAUCAAAAGAGCCUACAAUGCACCUCUUGAAAAGUCCAGUGUCUCUUGACCCUAAUGUCUCUGUAACUUGAAGGUUUCCUUCACCGUACGAGAUCUUUGUCUCACCCAAAGUGUUUCAUCUCCAUUUGCUUUCCCCAGCUGUUGUGGCAUAAGAGAGGUCCUUUUUAAAUAGUUUGGGGUGUACUGCAUUCUUCAGUUGGUGAGAGCAUUGAAAGAACCUCUCUAUCUUAGACACCCAACAUCUAUAACUAACUCUGGAACUAUUAUAACUACUCUUUCUCGACCAUCAAGAGUUAAAAUGCUGAAGAAUCUACCAUACUCAUUCACUUUCCUAUUGCAGAUGGUCUCAGUGAAUUUUUCUUUUAUUUCCAUAUUCUGAUUCCUUUUCCUCUAUCCUUGGAAACUUUCUUGAUGACUGUGCAAAGCCAUUUCAUAAUUUUCGCACUCAUGGAAGACCUUCUCAUCAGUUUGUAACUUCUCUCGACCCAUUCAAACCAAAUGUCUCUCCCCACUGUCCAUCUUGUGAUAUCGAAAGACUUGAAGCCUGCAUUGAAAUAUAUCGUGUUUUCCUGCAUCACAGAUCAAGAAAGGAAGAGCUCUGCUGGUGAAAGAAGACAACAAUGAAAAAAAGAGUGAUAGGUGAAAAAGCUACCACAGAAUGUAGGAGUUGAGAUUAGAAAGAAAGGAUAUUUCCGGCAAGGAGUUGCCGAAAAGAGAGUUUUCUCUCUCCUAUGAAGUAGGAGAGCAGGGAGUAUUUGGAGUAUUUUUUUAUAAUACUUCCACACAUCUUCUUCAAUCUUGAAAAACAAUUAUCUUAGUUUGGAAAAAUAAACAACAAAAAUAUGUCUUUUGACUAUCAAAUUAGUGUCAUCAUUGUGUAUAAUUUUGAAUAAGAGACUUGUCAAGACAUUAUUUAAUCCAAAUUAUUUGAGCAACAUACGUUAUUUCAUUGAACUCCAAGAGAUGUGUUUUUAUAUUUUAAUUAACUUAUCAUGUACACAACUAACUAUAUAAGAUAUAUAAAAUUAAGAUUUUCUAUGUAGAGACCAUGAAUAGGAGAAAAACUCUUGCAAUUGAUGAAUAAAAUGUUUGUGCCACCUUUUGAAAAUACAAAUAUAGACAAUGAAACAAUUACAUAUAAUUUCAAUAGACUUUAGUGAUGAACAACUACAGUAAAAUAAAGAAUUAAUAAUAAAAUUUAUAAAGACUUAGAAUCUAAUCUUUUUCAUUUUAAGACAAAAAAAAAAUUUCAUUCUUUAGAUAUAAUAUUCUUAACAAUUUAUCGUAGGUUGUACCCUCUCAAAACCACUUAUAUUAUCAAAUGUUCAGAUUGGAUUAUUGACUUUGUUCACCACCGCGCGAAGCGUGGGCAAUUUAGCUAGUUGAUUUAAAUAAAAAAGACAAAACAUUUGGUGAUUUUAAUGACUCGGUUUUUUUUAAAAAUAAUUUACUAUGAUAAUUUUACUCUCUUGCGAUAGUUUAAUAUAUUAAUAUAGAUUAUGAUAGCUCAAGCUCAAUUAGGACACUAAAACGUCUAAUGCUCUCAAAUAUAUUAUUUUUAUUAUGUCACUAGUCAUUUUGUAUGCAAUUAUGAUUUAUUAUUCUAUAUGAAAAAUCAAUAAUUGUAUUAUAUAACUUCUGAAAGAUUCUUUAAUUUAAUAAAUAUUUAGGCAUUAAUUGUAAUACACUACCUUGAUUCUUGUUCUCAAAAUCUUAUUAAUGCUUAAUAAUAUUUAAAAGUUUAGUGCAAGAUUCUAAAAUAUUAGACAAAAUCCUACUUUAAUUUAACUAAGAAUUUAAUCUUUUAACAAGAAAAUUUUGUUGCAUUAUGAAUAUCAUGACUAUAUAAACAAAUAACUAAGAAGGUACAUUUUGGUUUUUGAGGUCCGAUUCAAACUCUAUUUUCGAAAAAUUAGCAACAUUGAGUUCACUACUUAUGACUAAACAAAUUAUGAAGCAAAAUUCAGUUUUGACUUUGGGGCUCGGGUUAACUUUGAUUCAAUAUUAAUCAAAACUACUAUAUUGCGAUAUGAGUAUAGAUGAAUUGGUAUUUAAAUGUAGAUCAUGUUUUAUAUUGAUUUAAAGUGUUCCAAUGCAAUAUGGAAGGAAAUAAAAUAUGAUGUUGUGACUUUCAUGGCGCAAUUGUUCAACCUUCGAGUUAGGUCAUACUUUUGUUCAAAGACAUAUCUUGAGGAAUAAGUUAUUGUAUAAAACAUUUUAUGAGUUGGGAAAACUAUUGAUUUGAAGUACUAAAUGAGACCAUUUGAUGUUGUAAUGCUCUAACCCUUCGAGUUAGGUCAACUUAUUGUUCUAGAACUUAGCUGACGUUGUAUGUUAUUGUAUAAAACAUGUAAUAAGUUGGGAACACUAUUGAGUUGAAGUAAUAAUUGAUACCAUUUGAUGUUAUAAUACUUGAAAACCUUUGAGUUAGGUCAUAACGUAUUGUUCUAAGACUUAGCUUGGGUAGUAAGUUAUUGUAUAAAUCAUGUUAUGAAUUGGUCAAACUAUUUAGUUGAAGUACUGAAAUUAGACCAUUUGAUGUUGUAAUACUAUAAAAGAAAGUUCUAGCUGAUAAAUGGCUUGAGAUGGAAAUUGUAUCAAUAUUUAGUUGUAUUUAGUUUUAUACAUUAUACACAUAAGAGGAGUUACUAAGCUAAAAUAUGCAUCAUAUUGAAAGAAAUCUUAUUUAGAUGAUAAAUUAUGGCCUAGGGGCAGAUUUAUAAAGUAAAUUUAUAUCUUCAGUAUUUGAAAUUUCAUUUAUUUAUUGUUAUCAUGCGCACUCAUUAAUUUUCAUGGAUCAAAAAAUGAUACUAUGAUAAAGAGAUUUCUUUGUGAAAAUAAAACACUAAUUUUUACUAGUUUAAGUUUGAGAAUGUGAAUUUUAGAAAGUCAUUGGUGUUUGCCACUAGAAAUAGAUUUUGGGAAAGAUAUAUGAACCUUGAAAGUCCCCCAUGGGUCCCCCACUCCACAUCAAUGUUUUAUGGACGAUAUGUCUACUGGUAUCAUUAUUGAUCAUUGCAUUAUUUUGCAUAUUAUUGCCACUUGUAUUGCCUCUUAUAAUUGUAUCGAUUGAACUAAUGGGACUUCUCAGCGUUAUACAACAUGUGAGCCCACUCAAAUCUGAAAAUUUAUACAGAGUAGAAAGGAUACCAUAGUGCAUCUAAAAGUUACAACAAAUCAAUGGUGGAUGCAAGAUUCUCAUGAAGGGUUGUCAAUGAUAAAGGGCUUCAACACACAACCUAAAGGAAGUUUUGAUACCUCCUAACUACUUGACUAAGCCUUUCACCUAUAUAUAUAUAUAUAUAUAUAUAUAUAUAUUAAACCAAAAUUUGUCCUCUAUAUACAAUGUAAUUUUUCGGCAAAAGGAUGGCGCUUGACACCCCUAGGCUUAGGGUGGGUCUUGCCCUGUCACAAAUGCAACUUGAAAAUUGUUGAUAAUUGUUGGAUAAAUAUAUACACUUUUUCUUUUAGUGUAGGAUGGAUAUUCAAAGUAUAGGAGACAAGAAAAGAAUAAUGUCAUUCUGUAAUGACCUCCCGUUCAUUUCUUUGUUUAUGCCUCUUGUUUGUCAUUUAAAGCAUUCAUUUAGCUACCCCAAGUCAUUUAUGACUUGCUUGGAAUGACAGAUUGAUCACCUGGUCGUUCAUUUAGCUUUUAUGGUGAGUUUUAGUGUUUUGGAGCUUUGAACCUUGACGAUAUUGACCCAAAAGAAAGCCAAAUUCUUAUGGUCGAAAGCUUGUGAGACGUGUUUUCAAGGUAUGGCAAUUUUCAUUCAUGGAGUUCUUAAAUUCUUUUAUUUUCAAAGUUACAAAUCCCAAAGUCAGUCAGGUUUUCUUCACUUUCCAUGGGUUCCCUUCAGUGUUGAUUAAAUGAUUGAAUUAUGAUCUACAAUGCAUGAAAUAAUGAAAUAUUAUAAUUUUUACGAUGAUUCCCCAUGAACCCAUGUAAAUCCUGUGUUCACCAAUUAUGAUGAUAAAAUGUGGGUCUUGAACUAUGAAAUGUGAAUGAUGGAAAUUAUGCAUGUUCUUAUGGAAUUAAAGAGACCUUGUGAUUUGGAGCAUGCGCGGUCGGCCUACAGGUAGGCUACAACUUCCUUUCUAUUUAGAUUGAGCAUGAAUGUGUAAAUUCAUGCUGAUAUGUGUGAAUUGAGGGUGAGUACCUAGUUAUUUCUGCUUUUCCUUUUAGGAACCAUGAUAUAGGGUUGAUUAUUACUGUAUCAAGGCUAAGGUUAGUUUUGUGACUCGCAUGCUAUGUGAAAUUAGUUGAGUUUUAUUUGUUUUCUGAUGCAUAUUUGAUCUUAAACUAGAGUAGGCUAGUUUUGCCUUAGACUAUCAAACUUGUGGCUUUCUUUGUCUCUGAUGUCAUUUUGGACAGACUAGAUCCUUGUAAACUAGAGUAGAAGACUUGAGUAUGAUACUAUGAGCCAUUGUUUAGGCAAAUUCAUGGCUUAUUAGAUAUUUUAUCUUCUCCCUCCAUAUUGUUGUAGUUUUCAGGUGUUACCAGAGGUUUAUGAUAUCCUGACGAUUGGAGUAUUGAGUUGUACAUUUGAACAAGGCUGAAGCCUUUUGUUGAUACCUUUGGGUAGGAGGCGUCCCACGGUGACUUCACUUUACUUGACUAGGGUUUCCCCUUGUAAAUGUCACAUCCUAGGCACUCUUGUUAGUUGGUAUAUGAGUUGGUUGAUUACAUUGAUUAUUUACGGUUCGAGGUCGUUACAUCUAGUUCGAGGCUAACGUUUUACGGUUCGAGGCCGUUAUUUCCAGCUUGAGACUAAUGCUUUUGGUUCAAGGCCUAUAUUCUACCACUUAGGGUUUGAAUCCCAGAUCAUAUAAUUGUGGGUUCGAGGCUUGGUUGACUUCCUAUGUACUUGGGUUUGAGUAUUUUAUUCUUGUAGUCUUAGCUAUCUUAUGUACAUGUGAGGCUCAUGGGGUUCUGUUUGGGCUUUACUUAAAAUUGUGCACGAGUGUACCUUUAGGGCUCACAGGUCUAGUAAGUUUUAGUUUACUUGUACUUAGAUUACUUUUAGCAUACUCAUGUGCCUUCUUUCUUUCCCGCUUUGACCUUUGUUUGUAUCUAUAUUCUAUCUUUUCUGAUUGUCUUUACCUUUCUUGAUCAUUUGGCCUACGAUGCCGACUAAGUACCUUGUUUUGGUACUUAUGUUGCACUCUGCAUCUUUUUUGUGAUGCAUGUCCUAGUACCAGCUUACCAGCGGUGAUCGUUCAUGCCAUCUUUUGCAUCUUGACCUUUCUUGCUCUGUUGGCCUAUGAUGCCUACUGAGUACCUUGUUUUGGUACUAAUGUUGCACUCGCCAUCUUUUUCCAGAUGCAGGUCCUUUUACCCACAUACCAGUGGUGAUUGUUCGUGCCAUCUUUUGGAUAUUUGAGAUGAGGAUGGGCACUUGGCAUCUUGGACUAGCCUGUCUCCUUAUGUACAUAUGUUAUAUUGUCUUUCUCCUUCGAGAUAGCUUGUUGUGGUCCGCUUAUUGGACUUCUAUUUUUUCUUUCUAUGUAGAUCUGUACUCAUUACUUUUAGGUUCUAGGAGGGUUUCCAUUUUAUACAACUUCUAUUUUUUUCUUUCUAUAUAGAUCUGUACUCAUUACUUUUAGGUUCUAGGAGGGUUUCCAUUAUAUACAACUUUUGGUUUGCUUUCUGUUAUUGUCUUUUCUUAUUGUUAGUAUUAUUUGAAAUUUAUUUCUAGCCUUACACCUAUUACUCGCGUUCUGGUGCGUGUUGACUAACCUACUGGUAGGUUAUCGUAGGUUCCAUCAUGACUCUAGAGACCGGGUCGGGAUAUAUUCUCAAUAAUAGAAGAAGAUUUACAUAGACAGUAUCUAGACAUAUAAUUGAUGCCUCGUCAGCAGAAUUCAGAAGAAAGUAAGACUUUAUCAAGGUUAAUACACAAGUACAUAAAUGAAUAUACAAAUAGAUUAAACCAAAUACCUUCAAAUAGGUAGGUGGGCAUGCCUUCGUUGAUAAUUUACUUCUUCAAUACUCUGCAAUUGUUAGAUAUUCACCAGUAAGCAAUCAAUGAUUCUUAGAGAGUUAGAGUUCACAGUACUAAAUACCAAAUAAAAUUUGUGACAUGCAACCAGGAUGUCACAAAUUCUGAUAUCUUGGUUCCUUGACCAAUGCCUCACAUUUGUGACAUACUGCUAUUUGUGGAUAUAAUAACUCGAUAUCCUUAAACGUAACAAGGAUGGGAUAAAUCGUGGGCUUCUAACAGAUUUUUAGAAAUAGAACUUAGUUAUACAAAUAGGUUGCCGUUCCAAGAAUUAUGCACAACAAUAUGAUGUCAACACAAAAGUUUAGACUAGAUCCCACUUGAGAAAGGAAAAGACUUUUAAAUCUGGUAACAUCAAAAGAUAGAAGAACUAUCCUACAGACUGCCCUAAUUUAUACAGAAUGACAUAAUAUAGUGGAAGCUCAGCUUUCCUGGUUAGCAUUCCUAUUAUUAAGGUCAGAUGUAACCUUGUUGAUCUCUCCUCAAAUUAAAGCAAAUUAGCACAAGUUUUGAACUUUUUCCAUUAAACUGACUAAAUAAUUACAAUAAAUUUUUUGACCCUAGAAUCAAUCUCAUUCAUCAGAGAGAUUUGCCUAUCCAACUCCUGCAUAGGUUGUAUCAUAAUUAAUAUCCUUAAUAUACAAGGAGCAAAACAGACCAAACAAAAAAAACCCAACCUCAUUCAUAUCGCCAACCAUGUUUUCAAAGUAUUUUGACCUUCAUAUUCCACCUCCAAACCUUGGUCCUAUGAGAAGUUGAAACAAAACCACACAUUGAUAUUUAGGAACCAACAAUCCAACAAUAAGACGUAAUAAAAUGCAAAAAAAUUUCUGAUGGAUCAUGAACAAGUCCGUAAUUAAAUAUUCCAAAAAUACAUGCCUAUUACAUUUGGCACAUUUCAUAUUCUUGUCAGAUUUUCAGUUGUUGCACUGUCUGAAAUUUCAUUUAUCCUAUUGGGCAGUGCAAGUCCUAAAUCAUCAUGUACAACAAAUUCUUUGCUUGAAAUCCCUUUGACCUACAAGAGGAGGUAUUGCUGACCAAAAAAACAAUCCAGUGAAAGUAGGUUAUUUCUUGUGAAGCAUGGACAAAAACUAAAGGAAAAUAGUCUUGAAAAAAUCCUAAUAAUAUAAUAAUGGAGAAAGGAGUGUAUGAGAGGCAGUGAUAAGAACUAACUUCACAAACUAAGCUCUUAAGUAAGAUUAUACUUCUAUAUCUAUUUGUCUUACUAAAUUUAUAAGGCUUGCUGCCAUCACUAUUGAGUGUAUGCUGAUUUGAAGUCAAAUAUUAUCAUCCCUAGUGAGCUCAAUAACCUUCUCAUACUGAUUUCAACAACAUAUUCAUGAAAAAAUGAGAUCUACAAACUGUCACACCUUCUUGUAAUAUUAAAUCCACUGAUCUUUUUACAAUCCAGGUGCUUGAUAUCGUUAGAAUCUCGUAGAUAUCCUAGAAUGUUCUAGUACCUUAUAAUUAUGUGUUUUGGUUAACCCACCGUUCUUCAAAAUGAACUCUUAUCUAUGUCAACCCAAUGAAUUGAGGGAAUAGCUGAGUUUUCUCUCAAACUGUGUUCAUGGAAGCAUGAAGCAGAAAAAGAGACUAGGCCCUGCUUCGCUUAAUUCGUAAAGCGAAGCACUCACUUCACUGAAAGUGCAGCAAAAUUUUUAAAGAAUAAUCAAAAUAAACCUACAACAAUGACAAUAUAUAUAUAUAUAUACGAGUAACUUUCAAUGUAAGUACUAAAAAGUAGACAGCAAAAAAUCCUCCAUGGUACAAGCAAAAUCAAUACUAAAAUUUAAACUUUAGCAAUUUUUCCUUUACAUGAUCUGAAAACUUUGACAAGCAGUAACGUUAAAUUUAUCACUGAUGAGAUGAUGCUUCUGCGGAUAAGUUACACCUUUAUGAUCUUGUUACAAAAAGAAAAUUGAAUAGUUCUUGCUAGUAUCACUAAUUUUUGUGCAUAGAUCCAAGUUUGUCUUUGUUUUCCAUUACUGACCUCUUUCUAGACAUUGACUAACAUAUAAAGUUUAUAAACCCCUCUUAAUAGAUAAAAUAAAAUUAUAAAUGAUAAUGAAAUUAUAACACAAAGUCAAACUAAUUGACCAACAUAUGAAGUUCUAAAGUAAUCACACUUAACCACAUUAUCUUUUUCACAUCAGUGUUCAUGACCCUCCUCUGAUAGCAAAAUAUACUCAUAGCUCACAAACCCCGAUUUAUUACUAAAAAAAUGUUUAAGUUAAUUCUAGCUGAUUAAAAUUUGAAUUAUACAAACACUUCUUAGGAUCUACCUCAAGAAAACAACUUUGUGUAAUUGCAUCUUGUGGUAGACAGUAGGUUGUUUCAUCCUUGAAAAGAAAACAACUAAGACCCUUAUACCCCAAGAUAAUAAGAACAUAUAUAAUGUAGGCUGAUAAAAAUUAUCAGUGCAUAAACGUAUUAUAUAAGGAGAUGGUGUGUUUCUGAAGUCUCCAAACCCAACCAGCAAGUCCCCAAAUAUAGCCAAGCUAAUUGGGAAAUGAUGCGCCUCUUUCUAUUUCUAGAUGUUUGCUUAUCAAUCUCCCCACCUCUUGAGUCAUAAUUGAGUCCAAUAAACCAAAGCAGAAAUGUUCUCUUUCUAUAAAUCGUAGGCAAACCUCAAUAAUGCUUUCUUUUUGCAUAUCUUAGACUAAACUAGACAACCCUCAAUAUUGUUUUCUUUCUAUAUAUCCUAGACUAGAAGCUAGACAAACCUCAAUAAUGUUUUUUUUCUAUAAAUUUAGGAGAAAAGUAAAUCAACUUAAAAAAAUUGAAUACACCUUCUUCAGAGCUAAUCUAUGCAUUUUGGGAACCUCAUCAGUCAAUCUAGCCUUUGUAUGUUUGCCUGCAAUGGGAGAUGUUGGAAUUUAAGGCGGUGUAAAGGCAAGCAAAAGCACCAUCGUCGGAAUGUUUGGAAUUUUUUCGCUUGUCGAUAUCAUACUUGUCGUAUUUCUUGCUCCAUGUCGACCUAUCUUUCUUCCUCGAGGCAUUUAAUAACAUCUCCUUAAACCUAGCCUUAACAACAACUUGAUUAAGGGAAUAAGGAUUUAGCAUUUUUACUAUAUGCCUAAUUUCUUCUUGCAGCCCUUCCACUAAGAAUUACCCAAAUUCCAGGUAAUGUAAGAAUUCUGAUUAAAACCCCAGUCUUGAGCUCCUCAAAACUAAGUAGUCAUUCACGGUUCCUAUUUGCUCUAGUUUCUUGAAUUCUCUAACAAAGUUAAGCUUGCUAUUAGUAGCUCCAUCAAACCUUUUACUUUGUCAAAAAUUCCAGUCAUCAAAUAGUGCCUCAACUUAAUUUAAAGGAAAAAUAUCAAGCCUCAGCCUUACCUUAAAGAUGAAGUGGAACUAUGUCCAACUUUUCCUUGGAAUCCAAGUUGCAAUGAUAGUGGAAGUACCUCUCUGCUUUUGUCCACCACAAAGUCAAAACUAAUUGAUUAACAUAUGAAGACUUAAGGUUAAUCACACUUAACAACAUAAUUUUUUCAGAUCAGCAUUCAUAGCCCUCUUUUGGUAGCAAAAUAUACUCAUAACUCAUAAAUCCCUUUUUAUAGCUAAAAUAAAUGUGUAAGUUCAUUCAAAAGUUGAUUAAAAUUUGAAUUAUACAAGCUCUUGUUAGGUUCUACUUCAAGAAACGAAAUUUUCCAUGUAAUUUCAUAUUGUGGUUCAAAGUACAUUGCUUUAUAGCUUGAGUAGAACAGUGAUAGGAUCUGUGUAUCUUAAGUCUCAAAACCCGAAUAUGCGACUUUCAACUAAUAUUUGCUUGCUUAUGACUCUCUCCACCUCUUGAGCCACAAUGGAGUUCAAUAAACCCAAAACAUAAAUUCAUUAAGAGAAAAAUUAUGUGCAAACUAGAAACACCUCAACAAAUGUUUUCUUUCUAGACGUGUCAUAGCCUUAGCUCUACAUUGCAUGACUGAACAUUUGAAAUCUUCUCAAUUAAUCAAUCUAGCCUUUAUCCUUCAAAUCUCCACACCAGUAGACCGUCUAUUUAUUUUUUCCUUUAGAAGUUGUAAUUGGAUAUUCACUUCAAAUGUUCAAAUAGUAGAAGUACGAAAUAAUUUUCUACAUAUUUUAGGCUUUCUGUGACAAAAAAGAUGUAACAUGAAUAGUAGCUUCAAUGUCGGAAUUGAUGGUGGUGUAUCGCCAGAAAGUGUCGAUAUUGCUUGCCCUUUCUAGCUAUACUUCUAUAUAUGGAAAUAAAUCUUGGCAUUAACUAACUUUGCAAACAUACUUGUUGAAAUUACAAGACACAAAUGUGAAAAUUGGUAGCCACCAAUAUGAAAGUUGGUAGCCACAUUUGUGGAAGUAGGUAGUCAAAGUUUGAUAUAAAGUUCGACAUAGUAAGGCAGACAAUUUUUUGUUGAAAUUAGCUACCACAUUAUGUCAUUAAUGAUGUAAAAAAGUGUUCAAAAAACUCUAUAAAUAGAGUAGUAAUUUAACACUUGAAGACACACCAAAAUAGAGAAGCAAUAGAGAGUAGAGAGAGUAAUCCACAAACUACUUCUUAGUUUAUGAGAAACCAGUGUGCAAGUAAUAUAUUAUGAGUUGUAAGAAAUAAAGAGUGUUGAGUAGUAGUCUUUUGACACUACCAAGUUUUUUCAUCAAUAUUAUUGUAUUACUUAUUCGAGUAUUAUAUUUACCCAUUUUCAUAGUUGGUGUAGUUGUUACUCUCUUCUUAUUGAUAUUUAGUUUUGACAUUAUCCUAGUUGUGAUUAUCAUUUUGUCCAACAACGUGGUAUCAGAGCCAUGAUGAAUGAUAGUUUGUUGUCCUUUCAAUACCCCCAUCUCACAAGAGAAAAUUAUGAAAAAUGAUAUCUACGAAUGAAAGCUAUUCUUGGAUCUCAAGAAGUUUUGGAUAUUAUGACAAAGGGUAUACAAAACCCGCAAAUGAGGAAACUUUGUCCUCAAAUGAAAAGGAGGUAUUGUUAAAUACAAGAAAUAAAGAUCAACAACCCUCACUCUUAUCCAUCAAUGUUUGGAUGAUGUCCUGAUUGAGAAGGGGGUUGAUGCAGCCACCUCCAGUGAAGCGUGGGAGAUUUUGCAAAUUUCUCUCCAAGGAGUUGAUAAAGUAAAGAGCAUAAAACUUCAAACUCUAAGGGUUUAUUUUGAAGUUUUAAAAAUGAAAGAAUCCGAAUCCAUUUCAGAUUUCUUCUCAAGAUUGAUUGCUGUUGUAAAUCAAUUAAGAAGAUACGGGGUGGAAGUAGAUGGUGUGCGUGCAGUAGAAAAGAUCAUUCGUUCUUUAAUACCUAAAUUUCAUUAUGUGGUAUGUGCUAUUGAGGAGUCUAAAGAUCUAGACUCUAUGAUGGUAGAACAAUUUGAAGAUUCUUCACUAACACUUGAAGAGAAAUUGAAAAGGAGAAAAGAAGAUCCACUAGAGCAACUUCUUAAAACUCAUGCAUCCUUCAAAGAAUUUGAAGGUGAGAAAAGUAACAAAAGAAAAGGAAAAUGGUAAGGACAUGGAGGUCGUGGAGGCCAUGGAAGAGGAAGAAGUUAUACCAAUCAUUUAAACAAUGAAGAUAAAGGUCACCAGUCAUUCAGAGGUUGUGGUCGUGGUCAACGAGGAGGCAGAGGACGUGGAGCCUUUCAAGGUACAAAUGAAAUAAGGUAUGAUAAAUCUAAAAUUGAGUGUUAUAACUGUAAUAAAAUGGUACAUUACUCUUCGGAAUGUCGUAGUAAUGUUGAAGAGAAAUUUAAUCUUGUUGACAACAACAAAGAUGAAGAUAAGUCAACACUAUUAUUAACACUCAAAGAAGAAGAUAAAAAUGAUUGCAACUCAUGGUAUCUUGACAAUGGAGCAAGCAAUCAUAUGUGUGGCCACAAACAUAUAUUUGUAGAGAUAAAUAAGACCGUGAAAGGUCAUGUGUCUUUUGUAUAUACCUCAAAGAUCUAAAUUGAAGGGAUAGGUACGAUUCUGAUAUCCUGUAAAGAAUGUGGUCAUAUAUUGAUUACCAAUGUUUAUUAUGUUCCAAAAUUGAAAAGUAAUAUUUUGAGUUUGGGUCAACUUCUUGAAAAAGGAUAUGAUAUUCAUAUCAAAAAUAUGCAUCUUUGGUUAAGAGAUUCAAGUAACAACUUAAUUUCUAAAGUUCAUAUGGCAAAGAAUAGGUUGUUUCCUUUGAAUCUUCAAACUAUCGAUGCAAGGUGUUUGAAGGCUAAUGUGCAAGAUGAAUCAUGGUGUUGGCAUAUGAGAUUCGGGCACUUGAACUUUGAAGUGCUCAAAUCAAUGGGAGACAAUAACAUGGUUGAUGGUAUACCGUCAAUCAAUCAUCAAAAUCAAUUGUGUGAAGCUUGUCUUCUUAGAAAACAUGCAAGGAGGAGUUUUCCAAAGGAGACUACAUCUAGAACAAGUAAGUCACUCCAACUUCUACCCACCGAUGUGUGUGUUCCAGUCGAUCCACCUUCUUUUGGUAAAAGAAAAUACUUCUUACUAUUUAUUGAUGAUUUCAGUAGAAAAACCUGGGUAUACUUCUUGAAGCAAAAAUCUGAUGUUUUUGUUGUGUUUCAAAAUUUCAAAGCACUUGGAGAAAAAGAAAGUGUCUGUGAAAUAAAAGAAUUAAGGUCUGAUAGAGGAGGUGAAUUCACUUCAAAAGAAUUUAAUGACUUUUGUCAAUCUCAUGGAAUUCUUCUCCCUCUAAUGGUACCUUAGUCGCCCCAACAAUAUGUAGUUGCAGAAAGAAAGAAUAGAACAAUUCUUAAUAUGCCUAGAUGUAUGUUUAAAGCUAAACAUCUACCAAAACAAAUUUGGGUCGAGGUUGUUUAUUGUGCAAUUUAUUUGAGCAACAGGUCUCCAACAAGAAAUGUAUGAGAUCAAACACCUCAAGAAGCAUGGAGGUGAAGAAAGCCAAGUGUUAAGCGCUUGACAAUCUUUGGGAGCAUAGGUUAUGCUCAUGUUCCACAUUAAGGGAGAGCUAAAAUUGACAAUCGGAGUGUCAAAUAUGUAUUUGUUGGUUAUGACGCAACUUGAAAAGGCUAUAAAUUAUACAAUCCAAGCAAUAACAAGGUGGUGGUGAGUCGGAUGUUGAAUUUAAUUAAGUAGCAUCAUAGAAUUGGGAGGCUCUGGAAGAAAAAACAUAUAGUUUUCUUCCAUACUUCGGAGAUGAAGAAGAACAAGAGACUAUGACACCUGCAUAUGAUGCAACCCCAACUCCUUCACCACCAAAUGUUUCAUCUCCAUCUUCUCAAGAGAGUUCAAGUGAAAUACCACAUAUGAUGAAGAGCAUCCAAGAACUCUAUGAUGACACUGAAGAAAUUACUAAUUUUGAUUUUUUGUGUUGUCUCUUUGCUGAUAGUGAACCAAUGAAUUUUGAUGAAGUUGUUACUGACAAAAGGUUGAGACAAGCCAUGGAGGAGGAGAUCCAGUCAAUAGAGAGGAACAACACUUGGGAGUGCACAACUAUUCCCAAGGACAAUCAGGCAAUUGGAGUCAAAUGGGUAUACAAGAUGAAAAAAAAUGCCCAUGGAGAAGUAGAAAGACACAAGGAAAUACUUGUAGCUAAAGUCUACAAACAAGAGCAUGGCAUCGACUAUGAAGAAGUUUUUGCGCUUGUUGCCCGCAUGGGGACAAUCCAUCUGUUGAUCUCUUUAGCAGUGUAAAAUGAAGAGGAAGAUCCAUCAACUAGAUGUCAAAUAGGCAUUCUUGAAUGGAUAUCUUGAAGAAGAAGUCUAUGUUGAGAAACCAUUGGGUUUUGUGGUUAAAAAUCAUGAAGAUAAGGUGUUGAGGUUGAAGAAAGCCAUAUAUGGGUUGAAGCAAGCUCCACGAGCUUGGAAUAGUUGCAUUGACAAAUACUUCCAAGACAAUGAGUUUACUCGUUGUCUUCAUGAAUAUGUUUUUUGCAUUAAAGUUCAUACUAAUGGAGAUAUUCUGCUUGUUUGUCUUUAUGUUGAUGAUCUCAUUUUAAUGGGUAACAACCCAGCUUUAUAUAAAGCAUUCAAUAAAGCUAUGUCCCUUGAGUUUGAGAUGACAGACAUAGGCCUCAUGUCAUAUUACUUGGGCCUAGAAGUGAAGCAAAUGGAGGAAGGUAUCUUCAUAUCUCAAGCAAGCUAUACAAAGGAUAUUUUGAAGAAGUUCAACAUGUUUGAUUGCAACCCUGUGAACACUCAAUGGAAAGUGGACCAAAAUUGUCAAAGUUUGACAAUGGAAAAGAAGUGGAUUCCACUUUGUUAAAGAGUCUCAUAGGAAGUCUGAGGUACUUGACAUGUACGAGACCAGAUAUAAUCUUUGCAGUUGGAGUAGUUAGUUGCUUCAUGGAAGAUCCUACCUCCACUCACUUGAAAGUUGCUAAAAGAAUUCUUCGCUACCUAAAAGGAACAAUCGAACUUGGGCUAUUUUAUUCUUCUUCUGAUGAUUUUAAUCUUGUGGGAUAUUGUGAUAGUGAUUAUGAGGGACAUGUCUAUGAUAGAAAAAGCACAUGAGGUAUUGUUUUUUUCUUGGGUGAUUGUGUUAUUUCUUGAAGUACAAAGAAACAAUCAAUUGUUACUCUCUCGACUUGUGAAGCUGAAUAUGUGGCAGCCACAUCAUGUACGUGUCAUGCUAUUUGAUUGAGAAGAUUGUUGAAUGAACUCAAGUUGACACAAAUUGAAGACACAAUGAUUUGUGUUGAUAACAAAUUUGAGCAAGCACUAGCAAAGAAUAUGGUGUAUCAUGAUCGAAGCAAGCACAUAAACACAAGGUAUCACUUUAUCUGAGAAUACAUUGCUAAGAAAGAGGUAGCGCUCAAGUAUGUGAAAUCUCAUGAUCAAGUUGCGGAUAUCUUUACAAAGCCUUUCAAGUUUGAAGAUUUUCGGAGAUUGAGAUCAAGCCUUGGAGUAAAGAAGAAAAAUAAAAAUUAAGGGAGAGAUUUGUGGAAAUAAAUCUCGGCAGCAAUUAAUUUUGCAGCCAUACUUAAUGAAAUUACAAGCUACAAAUGUGAAAAUUGAUAGCCACCAAUGUGAAAGUUGGUAGCCACAUUUGUGAAAGUUGGUAGCCACAUUUGUGGAAGUGGGUAGUCAAAAUUUGAUAUAAAGUUUGAUAUAAGUUUGGUAGAGUUAGACAGCUUGUUGAAAUUGGCUACCACAUUAUGUCAUUAAUGAUGUAAACAAGUCUUUAAAAAAACUCUAUAAAUAGAGUAGUAAUUGAACACUUAAAAACACACCAAAAUAGAGAAGCAAUAAAGAGUAGAGAGAGUAAUUCACAAAUUACUUCUUAGUUUGUAAGAAAAUAGUGUGCAAGUAUUAUUAUUGUGAGUUGUAAGAAAUAAAGAGUGUUGUGUAGUAGUCUUUUUACACUACCAAAUUUGUUCAUCAAUAUUAUUGUAUUACUUAUUCGGGUAUCAUAUUUACCUAUUUUAAUAUUUGGUGUCGUUGUUACUCUCUUCCUAUUGUUAUUUAGUUUGGACAUUAUCUUGAGUGUGAUUAUCAUUUUGUCCAACACUAUAACCGCAAAUGCAUCAGCUUAUCCAUAUUGUACUUGACUUGUUGCAAUUGGAAAUUUUGAUGACAAUUCCUAACAAUUUUUUUCAAAGCAUAUAUUUUUAUAUCGGUAAUCUUUUUAUGAUAAAAAUAUUAUAACACAUCAUUAAUUUUAAUAUAAGAGAUCAUCAAAGUAAUCUAUCGUUAUUUUUCGUUUGAAUAUCGAUAAAUUUUUUUACCUAAUAAAAUAGGAAAGUUUCUUAUUUCUCAAUAUUUUCGAUUUGACGAACGAUACGCAUUUUCUAGUUAGAUUAUUGGUUUUAAAGUUCAACAACAAGGUCGGUAAGAAUUACAUUGCUUCAAAUAAAAAAUAUCAUCGAUGAAGUUAUUCUUGAUAUUUCUAUAUCAAUUUAAAAUCAAGGAAUAUUUAGGAAAUAUUUAUUCUAUUUUAAUUCGAGGAUGAUUAAAAAAUAAUAAUAUUCUCUAUUUCGUUAUUAAAAAAAUUGUUAUCUAAACAAAAAUUAGUGAUGAGUUGGUUACUAUGAUCACAUAUAUAUAUGCCAUAUAUUAAGUAGUAUUAAAAGUAUAUGUGAUAAUUGAAUGUUAAUUGAUGAAAAGAAUAUUAAGAAGAAACAAGAUUAUUUUUCACUCGUAUAUUAGUUUAAGGAUUUUUGAAAAAAAUAAGAAAUUUGAAAGUUCUGUAUGUAUUAUAAAUUCUUUUAAAAAUAUAUUAUGCUUGUUUAGUAAGAAGUUGAGACAUUGUAUUAUAAGUGUAUUAAAAUGUGUGAUACAUGUAUAUUCAUCAAUAAAAGUUGUAUUAUAUGUAAAUAAUAAAUUGUUCUUUUUAACCUCCUAGGUAGGAGAACCAACAAAUUUAACCCAACUUACAAAAAACAAGCAUAAUGCGGAAGCUCCAAAUCUUACUGAAUAUUAUUUUUCAAAACCUGAAAGUGAUCACAUCAAAGACAUCUAAUCUCUAAAUACUAAGUUUAAGAAUAUCAAAUACACUAAAAUAAAAGAAUAAAAUGGUAUGUGUUCAAGAACAUUGGACAUCAUAUCAUGACCGAGAGAUUUCAACACGAGCUUGAGUGAAAAACUCACCCUGAAACUUGAUAUGUUGGAGACUGGCUAGAGCUGAUGGCAAUUCAAAGUCAUUGGUACACUCGCUGCACUCAUAAACGGAAAACAAAUAAACAUACAAGUAGGGCUCGGUACGGGUUAAGAAGUACUGAGUAGAUAUCUUCGGUCAAUCCAAAAUAGAAACUAAUAUACAAUGAAUAAAUACUAUAAAAUCAAUCACGACACUUAACAGGUUGCAAGCAACAAUAUUAACAGGUUGCAAGCAACAACACUAAAGUAAGUAUGCAAUCAAUCACAAUAUCAAGCACACAAAUGGGGACUCAUGCCUCCACCCCGCUCUCAUUUGGAAAAUGGGUUCUUUGAGAUAAACUACCUUAAGGUAAUCCAAUAUCCUUUUCGUUUGAUAUUAUUGUAUCGAAAUGUGACACUCCGAUUCAAUUAUACCAUGCCGGAAUGUGACACUCCAAUUCAAUAAUACCGUGUCGAAACGUGACACUCCGAUCCAAGAAUACCAUGUCGGUAUAUAACACUCCGACCCUAGAAUACCGUGCCGAAAUAUGACGCUCCGAUUCAAGCAUACCGUGUCGGAAUAUGACACUCCGAUCCAAUUAUACUGUGUCGAAAUGUGACACUCCAAUCCAAUUAUACCAUUAGUUUUCAUUUAUUAUCACCACUUUCAAUUCAUUGAUAAUAUUUCAUCAUUUUUUUUUAUUCAAGGCACCACUUUGAUAGAGGUUCAAGAAUAUUGAUUCCACGGUCUCUGGAUUUCAGACCAAUCACAAGACACACAACCAAGCCACACUACCACACAAUCAAGUACAUAGGAAACUUCACAAUAUCAUUCAACGCAUAUCAAUCACUAUUGAGAUCAUAUCUAUCAAAUAGAAUAAACCAUAACCUACCUCCACCGAAUAAUCGAAGUCAAGCAACUACUUCUCCAAUGUAUUUGCUUUCAUUCAUGCCUCUGAACCUUUCCAAUCUAUCAAUUAUGUGUGCAUAACUUGUAAGUUAACGAGUCUAUGAACACUCAUAUUAUUCUAUGUCUAAUCUAGUCCCAUAAACUCACCUAAUUCUAUAAUCAAUUUCAGAACAUUCAAGCCUAACGAUAAGUCUAAAUUCCUCCAAUUAGCAUAAUUUUGAUGAAAUUUAAAUAAUUCGAUACACCUAAUACUCAACUACCUAUAUCAAUAUAUUAAAUAUAGUUUAUGAUGUAAAAACAAAAUAUUAAUAUAUAAAAUUGAAAGCCAUUGGUCAUAAAACCAGUGACAUACAGACUAACAGCGACCCAAGCAAUCCAAACUACUCGUAAACUAUAAUACAUCGUACAAGAAAUAUGUAGAAACUUAUUGUAUCCUAAUUUUUCACUACAUUAACACAAGAUUUGUGCAGUUAUCUUUAGGCAAUCAUUAGGUAGUUAUUGAUUUUUUAAUUUGUUUUCUAAUUUAAUUUUUUAUUAAGUAAAUAAGUAUGUAUGUCAUGUCCCUCGUAUACCCACAUAUAAUAAUAAUAAUAAUAAUAAAUAUAAUAAUAAGAACUAUUCGAAAUCAAAAUUCACUGAUUUAAAAAACCAGUAGCAUACCACAUAAUGCAUUGUAGAACUAGCCUAUUUCUUUUUCAAUUUCAACAAUACAUUUAUAAUAUUAUCUUAUUUAGAUUCAUUUUUUAAUCAUCAAACAAUUUGCCCUUUUAUUCAAUCACAUCUUAUGCUUGUCCCCCAACUUUCCAAUAGUAACAAUACGCACACACCCAUUCAAUUUUAUAUCUAACAAAAUAACAAUAAUAUAAACUCUCGCCUAAAAUCAAAGUGCAUAAAAUUAUCUCUGGAAUUGGUGAUGUUUACCUAAUGCAUAAUCACUUCAAAUUGGUUUCGUUUCAGGCGCCGCUUUCUCUCGUUCUCCUCUUUAUCUAUUUUCUUUUCUACUAAUUAUUUACUAUCCUAGUUAUUAUAAGACUAAUUAUAAAAAUAGUGAAAGUGGUCAACAAUUAAUUCAAAUAUUAUUUUCCUUAACCACCAACUAAAUAAAUUAUAAAAAUUACCCCUUACUAUAUAGUUUUUGUCAAGAAUAGUUCAAAAUAUACAUUUAGGAUUUAUCGAAAGAUUCUUUUAUGAAAUAAUAAGCUCUAUCACUCAAACGACAAACUAGAUCGUUACAUUAAAUAUGUUUCAAAAAAUAUUUCCUAAUAAAUAUCCUUUUUAAUACAACUAUUUUUUUAUGAUAAAAAUAUUAUAACUCAUCAUUAAUUUUAAUAUAAAUUAUCAAAGUUAUCGGUCGUUAUUUUUUAUUUGAAUAUCGAUAAAAAAAAGUUCUAAUAAAAUAAGAAAAUUUCUUAUUUCUUAAUAUUUUCGAAUUGACGAAGGAUGCACAUUUACUAGUAUGAUCAUUGGAAUUAAAGUUCAACAAAUAAUGUCAUUAAACAUAAGGAGAAUUACUUUGCUUCAAAUAAAAAAAAAUCGAUAGAGUUAUUGUUGAUCAAUUUUAUCUCAAUUUAAAAUCAAGGAAUAUUAAGAAAAUAUUGACCCUAUUUCAAUUCGAGAAAGAUUAAAAAAUAAUAAUAUUUUCUAUUAUAUUAAAAAAAUUAAAUUGUUAUCUAAACAAAAAUUAGUGAUGAGUUGGUUGCUAUGAUCAUAUAUAUGUCAUAUAUUAAGUUGUAUAAAAAGUAUGUGGUAAUUCAGUUUUAAUUGAUGAAAAGAAUAUUAAGAAGAAACAAGACUAUUUUUCACUUGUUUAUUAGUUGAAUGGAUUUUCAAACUAAUAAAAAAAUUUCAUAAAAAAAAUAUUUUAUCAGGAAAAUAAUGUGCAAGAAAAAAAAUUAAUAUAUGUAAUUUAAAAAAGACACAUUUUAUACAUAAAAGUAACAAUAUGUAUAUUUUUUUUACCAAAUAAUCAAUGACAGACCAAUCUUAGACCAAAAUAUUGAUAAAAAGUCCAUUUUUAAAAUCAAACUAUUAAUGCGGGACAUUUUAUUCAAUUUAAUGUAUUUUAAGAAUUUUUUUUGUUAAUCUUUUUUCAUUUCAACACUUCCCGUCUUAAAUGAGUUAAUCAUCUUACUAAACAAUAAUUGUACCAUCUUCGUUGUCCACCUUACUAAAUUACGAAAAAAAUUAAUUAAUUUAUUUUAGAUUAUUCUUGUAAUUAAUUUUUUAUGAAAAGUGUUCACAUUAGUUUGUAAAAUUUUCAAGAAAUUUUUAAGGGGUAAAUUAGUAAAAUUUUCUUUUUGUUUAUGAUUUCUUAAUAUAUGUAUAAAAAUGACCAAUAAAUAUGAGACGGAGAGAUUAAUACAUAAUUAAUUAUAAUUAACGUCCAAACAUAUAAAAUGACUACGACAACCCAAUAAAUUUAUUUUUCUAAUAAAAAAAAUUUCUUGUUUUUCCAUAUUUUUGAAUGACGAAGGGUACACAUUUUCUAGUAUGAUCAUUGCUUUUAAAGUUCAAGUUAUUGUUUACAUUUUUUAUAUCAACUUUAAAACCAAAGAAUAUUUAGAAAAUAUAUCCUAUUUCAAUUUGAGAAUGAAUAAAAAAAUAAUAUUUUCUAUUUUAUUAACUAAACAAAAAUUAGUGAUGAGUUGAUUACUAUGUACAGCUUUCAUAUAUUAAGUAGUAUAUCAAAAGUAUAUGUGGUAAUUCAAUUUUAAUUGAUGAAAAGAAUAUUAAAAUGAAAUAAGAUUAUUUUUCAUUGAUAUAUUAGUUUAAGGGAUUUUCGAAGAAAGAAAAAAAUUCAUCAAAACAAUAUUUUACUAAGAAAUAAUGUGCUUAAAAUGAAAAAAAUAGUAUAUGUAGUCUGAAAAAAAAAAAAGGACAUUUAGUGCACAAAAGUAACAAUAUGCAUAUACUUUUUACCAAAGAACUAAUGACCAGACCAAUCUUAGACCAAAGUAUUGAUAAGAAGUGUGUUUUUAAAAUCAAGCUCUUAAUGGGGGACAUUUUAUUCAAUUACAUUAUUUUAUAAAUGCUUUUUUUUUUAUCUUUUUCGAUUUCAACACUUUCUUUGUCUCAUAUGAGUUGAUCAUCUUACUAAAAAUAAUUGUACUAUCUUAGUUGUCUACCUUACUAAAUCAAAAAAGCAUUAAUGACAAUUUUUCUAUAAUAUUCUUGUAAAAUUUUUUUUUAAGUGUUCAUAUUUGUUUAUAAAAUAUUCAAGACGUUUUUUAAGGGAUAAAUUAAUAAAAUUAUCUUUUUGUUUAUCAUUUCUUAAUAUGGACAUAAAAAAUGUUCAACUAAUAUGAGACAUAGAGAGUAAUACAUAAUUAUACAUAAUUAAUGUCCAAACGUAUAAAAUGGUCAACAACACAAUAAAGCGAAUCAAAAAGAAAAAAUUACUUGGAUGGUGUCUUUUAAUAGAUAAUUAUUGAUUUUAGCGAAACUUUUUAUUUAUUAUCAUUUAUAACAAUACAUAAUAAUACUAUGUUAAAUCUGCAAUAUGUAUUAAACGUGAAUUAUGUAUGUAAUAUAUAUGUAUUAUAACUGUUUUUAAAAAUAUAUUAUUCUUGUUUGUUAAGAAGUUGACAUAUUGUAUUAUAAGUGUAUUAAAAUAUGUGAUAAAUGUAUUCUUCAUCAAUAAAAUUUGUAUUAUAUGUGAAUAAUAAAUUAUUCUUUUAAUAUAUACUAAAACUAUAAUACAAAUGUAAUAAGUGAUCAAGUGGGAAAAAUAUUAUUGCUAUGGAUGAUAAAUAUUUUUAUUAAUGUAUUAUAUUUAUGUAAGUUUUCCAGAAAAAGGAUUAGCCCCAAAAAGCGGCCCAGAUCCAUCUUAGGCAUAAACAAAAAAAAGAUAGACAAAUUACAAAAAUACACAUAUUUUGCUUCACUUAUUUCUGUUAUCCUCUAUUAUUUUUAAAAAUUUCCAAAAUCUUUUUUUUAUGUAUCCGAGCUGCAUAUUAAUGUAUCUGAGCUAGUUUUUAAUAUAUUUGAGCUAGUUUUUAAUAUCUCCGAACUAGAUAUUAAUGUAUUCCAGCUAGUAUUUAAUGUAUCAGAGGUAGUUUUUAAUGUAUCAGACCAACAUAUUAAUGUAGCAGAAACAAUAUUUAUUGUAUCCGAGCUACAUAUUAAUAUAUUCGAGCUACAUAUUAAUGUAUCAGAGCUUCAAUUAUUGUAUCCAUUUUUAAAAAUAUUUAAGAAAUUAAUGUAAUUAGAAACUUAUUAGGAAUAUAUUGUAAUUUCAAAUUAAAACUAUGAUAUUUAUGUAAAAAAAUUUGCAAAUAUUGAUCCAAAAAAGAGAAAGACAUUGAAAAGGAAACAUUUGGACACCGUUUAGUAUUAUAAAUAUAGAGUGAUUUUAAAAUGAAGCUAAAUUUUUUUAAUCAAAAGUCAAAACUAUCUUCUUCUUUUUGUCAAUAUUUUGGUCAAACAAGCCCUAAUAAAAGGUAUUUUUUUAUGAUAAAAAUAUUAUAACUCAUCAUUAAUUUUAAUAUAAAAUAUCAAAGUUAUCUAUCAUUAUUUUUAUCACAGCCCAAAAUGACCGUGAUGACAAUCGUCUUAUCCCACCAAGACAAGUCAGCCUAAAACUCAACUAUUUAAUAAAAUGCGAAAAAUUUACUACCAACUUAAAUUACACCCUAAAACCUGGUUGUCACGUGUACAAGCCUCUAAAGUAUUACAAGUAAAUUAAAAGAAAGUUUAAGUCUCAAAUGACCUUGUUUCUCGAAUAGAACAAGAUCAUAAAUAGGAUUAAGAAGGUCUGCUGAAAUGACAAGCAACUACCUCAUAAACCUCCAUAAGAGUCUCAGGCGAGGGGAAGAGAAAUAUCAAAAUGGUCUAGGUUAGCAACUUAGAAAAAAAAUGUAGGUAUAAGAGGUGAGUAUCAAACCACACAGUAUUCACCAAGUAUACCUCUAAACACAAGUUAAGGGGAUAAAAUACGGGUACUCCUUAAACCCCAACCAGACCUCCACAACUAUAAGUUGCAUAAAAUCAUUCCAACCUAACAAUUGAUCAAUCAUAAGCACACAUCUCAACAACAAGCUCAAUAUUCAUCAAUUAAACCCCCCCCCUCACACACACACAAAAAGGCACUCACAAUAUCAGCAACACACAAGAUCAAGUUCAUCAAAUAAAGGUAACCAAUUAUCAAGUACUUUCCAAACACCAAUAAAAUACAUAAUCAUAAAGAAUGAAGGAUUUCAUGGUAUGCAACGCAAUAUGACACCAUGAAAUAGUAUGCCUCGAAAUAUCAAUUACUCUCUCAACCGUAUAUACAUAAUACUCCUCGAAAAUACAUCUGACUGGCGAGGUCCAUAUACCGACACAGACGAUCUUCACGUGUCUGUGCGAACGAUCUCAAUGCACCAUCAUAAAAGUAAACAAUUGUCAGCACGGACGAUCUCCACGUGUCCAAAUUAUAAUCUAACUUGAUCUGAACACGGAUAUUCUUCACGUGUUAGACCUUUGCUGAUACCUAAUAUCAUGUGAAUGCAUGUGCACAAUAUGAUAUCAAAUAAAGGGGAUGAUACAACAUCUCUAUAAAUCAAAUGUCGUUAUGAGAUAUAAUCACCUCAAUUAUCACAUUUAUACGGGUUCGGUAAAGAACACAAUGCCACAUAAUAAAUAAUUUAAUAAUAUAUCAGCUAAUGCCCAUAUGAUUUGACAUUGUAGGAUUACAAUCCACAUUCUAUAGUAAUUAACUUUUCCUUUUAUAACACAUGUACUCGUACCAUUAUCAACAAAUCACACACAGCCAUUUAAUUGCAUUAUCAUUUAUCACCCCUUUUCAUCAUUAAAAUUGAUCAAUGUGGACAAGUCAACCCUUCAUUAAGUCCCAUUACUUCCAAACAGAUACCACAAGAAAAUAGACGAAUUUCAUACACUUAACAAGAGUUUAGAAAUCUAUUUGUCUCAAAUAGUCGAAGCAUCACUCUGAGACUCGAGUCUUCCCUUUUUCUUGUACUUCCAACUCAAAGUAGUCUAUUCACAUUAAUAAUCAUAAUAAAGUUUCAAAACUAACAAUACCCAUAUUAUUAUGGGUCUAGCCUUGACCCAAAAAUUCACUCAAAUUUAUAAUCAAGUUCCUAAAUGCUGAUGUCAACUAACAUUUUAACUAUCAUAUUUUUCAAGUUUUAAGCAUAAGUUAAGUAUCAUUUUUCCAUUGACCCCAAUAUAACAAAUUCAAAAAAAAUCUUUUCAACAAAAUUUAACCUUGAUGAUUACCCACCCAACUCCAAAUUACUCUUACUUAAUUACUCCAUUUAUUUCAAAAAUAAAGUAAAAUCAUAUGUUUAGCAAGCUAUAACAAGAAACUAUUUAAUACUGAUUCUUUUUCUUCCUUUAUCAAAUUAAAUUCUUAUAAAAACAAUUACUAGCUUAUAAUUGCUAAUGAUUGCUUCUUAAUUACACUACUUCCUUAUCCCAGGUUUCAGCCGUCAUUUUCAACAAAUGGUCAUUCAAUUCACCCUUACAAUUUGAUAAUUAAUUUCUCUAACACACUACAUAUCUAUACAUAUUAUAUUGUAAAUUAUACAUGGUGCAUGUCGUUACUUGGAAAAUUUAGACACAACAUUUAUAUACCUGGUGCUCGUAGUUUUUCUUAUGGCGCAACCUUACCUUCGUCUGCUCCUUCUUUUUCUUUUUCAAACUAAUUAGCUACUAAAAGUGAUAGAUUUUUACUCACUUAUGUUAUUAUAUAUGGGUCGAGACUUGUCCCAUUAACCAUCACUAAUAAAAAUGAAUUAAUUUAAUAAAUAUAAACCAAUUAUAUAAUCUAGUUAUCGAAUAGUUCAAAUUUCCAAAUCAACUUCAUUGAUCAAUCAAAAAGGAUUCGAGGCAAAUAUUGGGAUGGAUAAAAUUAUAAUUUUAUGAAAUUUCUAAAAUUGACUUUAUGGGUCAUUAUAAUUUUUCAUUUGAAGACCGAUAAAAAAAUAUUCCUAAUAAAAUAAGAAAAUUUCUUAUUUCUAAAUAUUUUCGAAUUAACAAAGAAUACACAUUUACUAGUAUGUUCAUUGAUUUUAAAGUUCAAUAAAUAUUGGCAUUAAACAUAAAAAGAAUUACAUUGGUUCAAAUAAAAAAAGAAACAGGACAGAUAUACCUCCAAAUUUUCUUAAAUGGUAUGCAUAUACCCUUUGUUAUACUUUUAGGACGCCAGUACCCUUGCCAUCCAAAUUUUGGUGCAUAUAUAUAUCCCUUAAGUAAAUGGUGAUACAUGUGUCUUGAUCUUAACCACCGAUAUGAUAUUUAUUAAAUUUCUACCCAAAAUUUAAAAAAAUCACCUGAACUAUUCUAAAACUCCGCCCAAAUACAUAAUACCCAUAACCCAAAAAUAUCAACCCAAAUCCCCAAAUCAAUUUACUGAAUUUCCUAGGUGACAUCUAAAUUGCCACGUAUCCUUAUUGUCUUAUUUUUCAACAUUUUCCCAGUUUGCGAAUACAAUUUCCGCUAACUUUUGUGCAUACGACUGUUUGUCAACGCAAAAAUUGAAGCAGGGAACUAAAAAUUAGCCAACAGAUAGCAGAUACAUGAAAAUCAAGAAUUAAAAAAUUAUAAAGGAUAUUUUUGUAUUUUUAAAUUUUAUAUGUAAUCCCUUACUUUAUUUUUCUUAUAAUCUCUUGAAAGAGACUUUUCUAAUCUAGUUCACAUAUAAGUAUUCAUAUGCCUUUGCCAUUAAUAUCUUCUUCUUAUUUUUGUAAGUUUGAUAUUUACAUUGAGAUAUCAAAAAUUUGUGAAGUUUUUGGAGAGUUUAUUCAGUGAGGUUUUAUCAAGUAUAAUGAUUGUGAUGAGUAAAUAAUAGAUUUAGUUAUAGAGAAUGAUCAAGUGAGUCAAGGCAAAGGAAGUUUGAGAAAAUGGAGAUGAUUCUGGGAAUGAAGAUUAACUGAGUUGGGGAUUUGGGUGGAUAUUUUUGGGUUAUUGGUAUUAUGUAUUUGGGCGGGUUUUUAAAUUAAUUCGGAUGAAGUUUUUUUUAAUUUUGGACAGAAAUUUAACAAAUAUCAUAUCAAUAGUUAAGAUCAAGACACGUGUACCACCGUUAACUCAAAGGAUAUAUAUGCAUCAAAAUUUUGACGGGUACUGGCAUCCUAAAAGUAUAACGAAGGGUAUACACAUACCAUUUAUGAAAGUUAGGGGGCAUAUUUUUCUUUUUUCCCAAUAAAAAAUAUCUUCGAUGGAGUUAUUGUUGAUCAUUUUCUAUAUCAACUUUAAAAUUGUCACGACCCAAAUUGAGCCGUGAGUGGCACCCACAUUUAUCCUUCUAUGUGAGCGAACCAACCAACCUAAACCCCAAUCAUUUACCAAUAAUAAACAGAAAAUAAUGCGGAAGACUUAAAACUCAUUAACGAAAUCAAUUAAUAACUUCUAAAAUUUAUCAAUUAAUAUCCCCAAAAUCUGGAAGUCAUCAUCACAAGAACAUCUAUCCUCAAAUUACUAAGACUAAGAGUAUCUAAGAAACUAAACAUAAAUAAAAAGCUAGUCCAUGCUAGAACUUCAAGGCAUCAAGACAUGAAGAAGAAGAUUCAGUCCAAGCUAGAAUCUUUAGCUCACCCUAAAAUCCGGUGUAAUGAAGACUGGCUAGAGUUGCGGUUGAGUUGAAGACGACGGCACGUUUGCUGCACUCCACAAAUAACAAGGAAAGAAACAUGCAAGUAGGGGUCAGUACAAAACACGGGUACAGAGUAGAUAUCAUCGGCCAACUCAAAAUAGAAAACAGUAUAUAUCAUAUCAUAUCAUAAAUCAACUACAAUACUCAAUCUGUAGCAACAACAUGUACAAGAAUAUCUGAUAAACAACGUCAAGUACACUCAUGAUGACUCAAGCCUCCAUAUCAUACUCAUUUGGGAAAUAGGUUCUUUUCAUUCAAAUUUAUUAACAUAAUUUCAAGAUUCAUUAUCUUUAUUCCUCUUGUGUCGGUACGUGACACUCCGAUCCUCAUCAUACUAUCCUGGUGUCGGAACGUGACACUCCGAUCCCCUAAUUCUACGUGUCGGUUCAUGAUACCCGAUCCCCUAAUUCUACGUGUCGGUUCGUGACACCCGAUCCCCUAAUUCUACGUGUCGGUUCGUGACACCCGAUCCCCUAAUUCUACGUGUCGGUUUGUGACACCCGAUCCCCUAAUUCUACGUGUCGCUUUGUGACACCCGAUUCCCUAAUUUUACGUGUCGGUUCGUGACACCCGAUCCCCUAAUUCUACGUGUCGGUUCGUGACACCCGCUCCACUAAUCUCAUCUGUUAAUUCAUCAAUCCUUCUUUUAUAUCAAGGCAUCAUCAAUCUCAUUACUUUAGUUCAUCAAGUCUUCUUUCAUACUAAGGCAUCAUCAAUCUCAUUACUUUAGUUCAUCAAGCCUUAUUUCAUACUAAAUCAUCAUCAUUAACAAAGAGCUUUUUCAAGAUUUAGGAUUCAAUAGCCUCAUCAUGCUUAUUUUAUCACAAUUACAUAAUCAAAUUCAUGCAAGCAUACAAUUAAGCAUAUAGAAGGGUUUACAACACUACCCAAUACAUAUCAUUCGCUAAGAGUUUACUACGAAUAGCAUAAAAAUCAUAACCUACCUCCACCGAAGAUUCGUGAUCAAGCAAGCAAUUUCCCCAAAGCUUUGCUAUCCUCUUCGUUUCUCUCUCUCUUGAUCGAUUCUUCUCCCUCUCCUUGUUCUUUCUAUUUUUCUUAUUCAAACCCUCUUUCUUUUACCCUAAUUAGCAUAUAAUUAAGUAUAAAAGAUGGCAAUAGUAACCCACUAAUUAACUCAAGGUUACCUCUUUUAACCCCCAAGUAAUUGAGUUAUUAAUAUUAAACCACUAACUUUAUAAUUAAAGCAGGAAUAGUCCAAAACACCCCUUAAAAUAUUUACAGAAAUCCGACCCAGCCUGGGAUUACGCAGUCUGCGACGGUCUGUCCUGCAGGUCCGUCGCAAGGUUCAGAGAGUUAUUUUCUGUGGAAGAUGUGUGACGGUCCGUCGUGCCUACGACAGUCCGUCCUGCCAUUCCGUUACGAAGUUCAGAGAGUCGAUUUCAGUACCCAAAUUUCAGAAUUCUAAGUGUUUUGGAACGAGACCCCCACGACGGUCCGUCGUGCCCAUGACGGUUCGUCGUGGGAUCCGUCGACUUAGCCAGUUUUUCAAGAAAUAAAAUCUGCUGCUCAAAAUGACUAAACAAGUCGUUACAAUAGAUACCAAUUUACCCAUCGUUCAUCCUCGAACGAUCACAAGAAGAAAAACAAGGGCAAAAGGGAGUACCUGAAUCUGUAAACAGGAGUGGGUAUCUUUCUUUCAUAUCUGUCUCCUUCUCCCUAGUGGCUUCUUCAACCGGCCGAUUCUUCCAUUGAACUUUGGUAGAUGCAAUUUCCCUUGACCUCAGCUUGCGGACUUCUCUAUCUAGAAUAGCAACAGACUCCUCCUCAUAAGACAAAUUCUCAUCAAGCAGAACUGAAUCCCAACGAAUAAUGUAGUUUCCAUCCCCAUGGUAUCUUUCAACAUAGACACAUGAAAUACCGGUUGUACUCCGGACAGCCCUGGAGGCAAGGCUAACUCAUAAGCCACCUCCCCUACUCACUUAAGUACUUCAAAGGGACUAAUAUACCUUGGGCUUAGUUUACCUCUUUUACCAAACCGCAUCACCCCUUUCAUGGGUGAAAUCCUCAGCAAGACUUGUUCACCCUCCAUGAACUCCAAGUCUCUAACCUUUCGAUCUGCAUAUUCCUUUUGCCUACUUUGCGCCGCUAAGCUUUUCUUGAAUAGAUUUAACUUUAUCUAAUGAAUCCCUCAAAAGGUCAGUACCCCAAGGUCUAACCUCAAAUGCAUCAAACCAACCAAUGGGAGACCUACAUCUCCUCCCAUACAAUGCUUCGAAUGGAGCCAUAUCAAUACUUGAGUGAUAGCUAUUGUUGUAUGAGAACUCUGCUAAGGGUAAGAAGUUAUCCCAAUGACCACCAAAUUCUAUCACACAUGCACGAAGCAUAUCCUCCAAAACUUGAUUCGUUCGCUCAGACUGACCAUCGGUCUGAGGAUGGAACGCAGUACUAAGAUCCAACCUAGUACCUAAUUCAGCAUGCAAUGUUCUCCAAAACUUAGAAAUAAACUGCGUACCUCUAUCUAAUAUGAUGGAGAGGGGAACUCCAUGCAAUCGAACGAUUUGUGAGAUAUAGAUUCUGGCUAACUUCUCUGCAUUGUAGGUCACCUUGACCGGAAUGAAGUGAGCAGACAUAGUUAACCUAUCAACGAUUACCCAAAUGGAGCCAAACUUCCCCAAUGUCUUUGGAAGACCAACCACGAAGUCCAUUGCAAUUCUCUCCCACUUCCAUUUAGGAAUGGGCAUUCUCUGAAGUGUUCCUCCGGGCCUCUGGUGUUCAUACUUUACUUGCUGACAAUUUGGACAUUUGGCAACAAAAUCAACAAUGUCGCACUUCAUUCUACUCCACCAAAAGUGUUGCUUUAGGUCACGGUACAUCUUGGUUGCACCAGGAUGUAUAGAAUAUCCGGAACUAUGAGCCUCUGUAAGAAUAGUGUGGAUCAAAUCAUCAACACGGGGCACACAUACCCUUCCCUUAAUUCUCAAAACACCUUCUUCAUCCAUUAUUGCUUCUUUAGCCUCUCCUCGCAACACCAUAUCCCGAAUUCGGCUUAGUUUCUCAUCAUCAAACUGUUUCCCCUUGAUCUUGUCAAGAAAAGAAGAUCUUGCCUCCACACUGGCCAAAAACCCUCCCUUCUCAUUUACUUCUAACCUCAUAAAGUCAUUAGCCAGAGUCUGAACCUCUCUGGCCAAUGGAUGUCUAGAAACUUGCAAGUGGGCUAGACUUCCCAUGCUCCCUGCCUUUCUACUUAAGGGAUCUGCCACAACAUUAGCCUUUCCCAGAUGAUACAAGAUAGUGAUGUCAUAAUCUUUCAGUAGUUGCAUCUAACUUCUCUGUCUUAAAUUCAAAUCCUUCUGAGUAAAGACAUACUGUAGGCUACGAUGAUCCGUACGUGAGAUUUUCACCUCAUACGGCUCCUCAGAGGUCACAACUAAAUCUAAGGGCCCUUUCCUAUUCUUUAUCUUGAUAUGUUUGUCAGAUAGAGUCAAAAUCUAUUCUAAGGUCCCAAAUUAGACCAAUGGAAUUCUGUCUGCUAUAUUUAAAACUAAUAAAUAAGUGCUUCUGAAUUUAUCUCAUCUUUUAAGAAUUUUAAUUUUUCUUUGUUGAUUAAUAACCUUAUCAUUAAAUAAAAAAAUGUGCUUUAUAGCAAUAUCACAUAUACAUUUCAACCUCGAAUUUUCAAUUACGAAAAAAAUUAGAGAGUACAUUAGUUCAUGAAUCAUGACAAAAAUUUUAUCUCUCUAAAUAGAAAUAAAAAUUGAAUUAUAGGAAAGAAAGAAUAAAAACAAAAAAAGACAUCCCUCCUUUUUCCUUUUGCAAUUAGCUUCUUUUCUUUCUAUUUCGAUUUUUUUAUUUCAUUCCUAUUCUCCUUUCUCAGAAAAAGGGUCUUUAACCAAAGUAAAAGAUUACUUCGUUCUUGAUAGUUAGUUACUUACUCAGUGGAUAGGAACAUACUCUGGAUCAGAAUCAUGGGGAGUACUUCUUGAUCAUUUCUACGAAUGUAAAGCCCCAAUUUGAAUUCCUUUUAUGUACAGAAAUAUCCUCUUGGAUAACUUACAUAAUCUCAAUUACUAAUCCUUUGUGUAUCUUAGUCUUCCUAACCAUCCACUCAUUUUUUGUUUCAAAAACCUCCCGUUGUGGAAAUCCAUCUAUGGUAAUAGACAGUAAAAACUCCAUAGAGUUGGUCUUUUGAACCCGCUUCAAGCUAUCAUGACAAUUCACGAAUCUUGGGGUAAACAAUCUCUCUUGCUUAUGUUUACUUUUUUCACCAUUUGAUUCUUGUACAUAGGAAAUGAGACUCAACUUUUUUACUGCAAAUUUAAAAGCCGUUUUCUUUCACUCAUAUAACUAUCUGAUUUAGUUCAUCAACUCAAAUGCUGAAGAAAAAAAUAUAUAUAAUCAAUCAAAUCUUUUUAUCCUUGUUUCUAGAAAGAAAAGAAUUUGGAUAAAUUUUAGGUCUCACCGAAUCACACGUAGAGAUAUUGAUAACACACAUAGAGCUAAUGGUAUUUCAUAACUAAUUGAUUGAGCAGCUGCCCGUAGACCACCUAAAAAGGAAUAUUUAUUAUUUGAUCCAUACCCCGACAUAAGAAGUCCAACGGGAGCAAUACUUGAAAUGGCAAUCCAAAAAAAAAACACUAAUACUAAGAUCGGCUAGAACAAGGUGAUAACCAAAAGGAAUUACUGAAUAACUUAGAAAGAUAGAUAUUACUACUAUGGAUGGUCCGAUACUGAAUAAACGAGUAUCUCCUGUAGAUGAAAUAAGGUUCUCUUUCAAAAGUAGUUUUGUCCCAUCUGCUAGAGCUUGAAGAAUUCCUAACGGGCCGGCAUAUUCAGGCCCAAUACGUUGUUGUAUUCCUGCAGAUAUUUCUCUUUCUAACCAAACAAUUACUAGUACACCUAUUGUGAUUCCUAAUACAAGAGUCACAAUAGGGACAAGCAUCCAUAUGAUCCCAUAGACUUCUUUUAAGGAUUCCAAUUUGGAAAAAGAAUUGAUAGUCUCUAUUUCUGUUGUAUCAAUUAUCAUUUCAACGAUCAACUUCUCCCAUAAUGAUAUCUAUGCUACCUAGUAUUGUCAUAAUAUCAGCCAAUUUCAUUCUUUUAACUAACUGAGGAAGAAUUUGCAAAUUGAUAAAACCUGGUGGGCGAAUUUUCCAUCUCCAAGGAAAAACGCUCUGAUCUCCUAUCAGAAAAAUCCCCAAUUCUCCUUUUGGGGCUUCAACUCUCACAUAAAGUUCUUGUUUCGACAAUUCAAAAGUUGGAGAAGGCUUUUUACUAAUAAACCGAUAUUCAAAAUCAUUCCAUUCAGGAUCUUUUAAUCUGUCAAAAUGUCGCAUUUCUAAAUUUUCGUAAGGCCCUCCUGGAAUUCCUUCCAGAGCCUGUUGAAUAAUCUUUAUGGAUUCUGUCAUUUCACCGAUUCGUACUAAAUAACGAGCUAAUGAAUCCCCUUCUCGUUGCCAUUGAACCUGCCAAUCAAAUUCGUCGUAAGACUCAUAAUGAUCAACUUUACGAAGAUCCCAUUCUAUUCCGGAAGCUCGUAGCAUUGGUCCCGAUAAACCCCAAUUUAAUGCCUCGUCUCUCCCAAUAAUGCCUACGCCUUCAACUCGUUCUAAAAAAAUAGGAUUCCGAGUAAUAAGUUUUUGAUACUCAGCAACCCCUGUUAAAAAAUAAUCGCAAAAAUCCAAACAUUUAUCUAUCCAGCCAUAGGGUAGAUCGGCAGCCACUCCUCCAAUCCUAAAAUAAUUAUGCAUCAUUCGCAUACCGGUGGCAGCUUCGAAUAGGUCAUAUAUCAAUUCUCCUUCUCUAAAAAUAUAGAAGAAAGGGGUCUGUGCACCAAUAUCUGCCAUAAAAGGACCGAGCCAUAACAAAUGAGAAGCUAUCCGACUCAACUCCAACAUAAUGACUCUGAUAUAGCUAGCCCUUUUAGGUACUUGAAUAUUGCCUAAUUGUUCGGGUCCAUUUAUGGUUAUUGCUUCUGUGAACAUAGUAGCUAAAUAAUCCCAACGUGUUACAUAAGGCAAAUAUUGUAUAAUUGUUCGGUUUUCCACAAUUUUCUCCAUCCCUCUAUGUAAAUAACCCAAUAUUGGUUCGCAGUCGACAACAUCUUCACCAUCUAGAGUAACGAUGAGUCGAAGAACACCGUGCAUUGAUGGGUGCUGAGGCCCCAUAUUGACUAUCAUGAGGUCUUUUCUUGUAGUUGGUGCAGUCAUAAGUUUUUUAACGAUUCAUUCUUCCAUGAAUUACUGAAAGUGAAAAGAAGUUCAUCAAAAUAUAAUCGAAACAUAUAAGUGAAAAUGAAAUAACUCUUCAAAUUAAUCAAAUUAACGAGUUUUUGUCUCUCGAAUGUCCAACCGAUUAAUUAAUUCUUUAUAACGUACUCUAUUUUUUUUGCCAAAUAAGCUAGCAGUCGUUGACGUUUUCCCAAAAUUUUCUUCAAACCUCUCUGAGAUAAAUAGUCUUUUUUGUGCAAUUCUAAAUGUGAAGUAAGUCUUCGUAUCUUAUUGGUGAAAUUGAAUACUUGAAAUUCAACAGAUCCUUUCUUUUCUUCUUGAGAAAUAACUGAAAUGACAGAAUUUUUUACCAUAAAUGAAUUUCCCCUUUCUUUAUUUUACAGAUAUGGAUUUUUUUGAAUUUUAUUGAUCAGUAAUAAUAAUGCCAGUAAUUUAAACGUGGUAUAUAGACUUAAUUUCUUUAUGAACCUCUAAUUUUAGCAAUUCCAAUAAAUUAAUCAAAUUUGAAAUUUGAUUCAGAUAGGAAUCUAAAAAGACGGUAGGUACGUUUUUUUUUAAUCACAAAAGCGAAUAAUUGAAACCUAAAAUCCUAAAAUGAAGAAGAUUCUGUUGAUUCAUUUCUAGAUCUAAUCAAUACCUUAUUUUAUUGAUUUAGUAUUGUCUACUCGAAUUAGAUUCGAAUGAGAUGUAAAACAAGGCAUGUUUGCAUUUAUUUGCUUUCAGAUACUCUAUACGAGACAGGGUAUAUAGUACUAUCAAUUAAUUUUCAAUCGUGGAUACAUAUGUAUCCUUAAGAUACUGAAACGGCUACCAUUAUUGGUAUCAAACCAAUAACGAUUCAUACAAGCUAAAUCUUCUAAUCGAUAAUUAGGCCAAAAAAGAACUUAAAUUUAAUUAAUUCAUUUUUAUCUUUAUAAAGGGGUUUCCGUUCACCCAAAAAUUGACUCCAGUUUUUUACAUUGGUUUCGUUGCAAAAUACUGAAUUUCUAUCGACGAUAUUCCAAUUCCAAGAAUUAAAAAAACUUCGAAUUCUCAACUCUCUACGACGUCUAGACCAUAAAAUAUUUUCAGGAACAAGCAAACCAAAAUGAGUUUUUUCUAUAUUUAUUCUUUGAGUUUGAGGUUGCAGAAUGAAUUCGUGAAAAUUCUUUUUAUCAACAUAUCUUUGUUCUCUGUAUCUUUGAUUAGUUUGGUGUUUACUUUUAUGAACCAAUGAAAUACCUAUGGUUUGAUACAUAAUAAAUUGUCCAUUAUCUUUUACAGACAACCGAAUAGGUUCGAUAAUCAAUACCCCCUUCUUCAUCAAGUCUGUAAGAGGUAAAUUUGCCUGAAUCAGCAUUAUAUCCAAACUCAUUUCUCUCCUUUGAAUUGACGAUAUAGUAAUUUUGGUUGGAUUUAUCAGUCGAAGCAGGAGACAAUAUACCUUGAUAUUUUCGAACAUUCUUUGAUUCAAAGCACCGUUCCAUCUCAAUUGAAAAAGCAAAUAACGUUUCAAGAACAAAUCUAGUUCUGCUUCCGUGUUGCUUUUGUAUUAUUUUUUAUUUUUACCCUUUUUUGUGUCUGAUUCCACGUAAUCUUUUUCAAGAUCGGUUUGAUGUUUUGAAAAAACAGGGCUCAAAUUUCCUUUGUUUUCUAUAUCUGAUCCACGCUCUCUUUGACUUGGGGGUUCUUUUGCUUCUUGACUUCGAUUCUUUAUUUUUAUUUUUUUAUUUGAUGGUAGAAAAAAGUUUUGAUUUUUAUUUUGACUAACAUUUUUAUUUGUAUUCAAAUUAAAAAGAAGGAAUUUGCUUGGUAUAAUCCACUGUUUUAUUUUAUAGACAUUAUAAAGUAGUACAAAUUCUGGGAAGAACCAAAAUUCCAGAUUCAAUAUGGGACGAUUAAAUAUUUUUUCAUUCAUUCCCAUCCAAUCAAAAAAGACUUUUUUCGAAUUUUUUUGAGUUUUUUCUGGAUUUUGAUGAGUUGUAAGAUAAAAAACCCCCUUUUUCUCAAUUUUAUCAAUUAUUUGAUAAUUACUAAUACCAAUUUUAGUAUUUGGAUUACUGUUGGUAUUGAUCUUAACCCAGGCUUCAAUAUCUCCUUUUUGUCUAAGAGAAAAAUGGAUAAUUUUCCAAUCAAAAUAUUUUCUAUCGAGAUUUCUUUCUCUAUCUAGAAUAUUGCCCUUUCUUAGAUAAUUAUUGAUAUGAAGAUUGCCGGGCAUAUCAACAAAGUUGUGUUUGGACGUGUUGGAAUUAUACGAAAUUUCUAAGUUCUUCUUUACUUGAACUUCAAAGGGUAAUCUAGAAAAAAAUGAGUCACUUUUAUUUUCAUAAUUAAUCGAUUUAUAUGCUAAAAGACCAUAUCCAUAACAUUUUUUAAAAUUAUCUUUUUCGUUUGAUAAUGAAUAGAGUUCCAAAUCAUUUUCUUUUUUGUAAUGAAGUAAUUGGUCUUUUUCAUAUGAAUUCCAUUUGUUUAAGUUUCUAUUUUUAUUUUGAGCCAUACAACUUUGAUUAACCCUAGUUCGCCAUUUUUUUGGCAUUAAUCUAGACCAUCUAAUCUGAGAUAAAUCGUAUUGAUAAUGCCAUCUUAACCAGUUUUUCCAUUGAUUUAUUCUAUAACCCUGAAGUUUCUUAUGUUUUAAUUCCGAAUGAAAUAUUCCUAGUGUUUUAAAAUAGUCCUUUAUUUUAGUCUUAAGGAAACAAGACGUUGUGUUAUAUAGAAGAACAGAUCUAAAUUUAGAAAAAUUAAUAACUUGGGUUUGUGAUAAUUUGUAAAAUACAUAUGCUUGUGACAAGUAGGAUAAAUCACACAAAAUAUGUGAAUUUUUCUUACUAAUAUUAUAAAGUGACUUUUUUAUAGUCGAAAUAAACAUAAAGUGAAUUUUUUUUUAUUAUUAAUUUUUUCUUGAUUUAUUUCAUUAUUGGAGAUGAAUUUCUCAAUCAAUUUGUUUGUUGAUUUAAGAAAGAGUUGUGUAGUAAUUCUAGGAAUAUUAAUGAUAGAUAAAAAUAAAUUUAUGUAUAAUCUUUGAAUGAAUAAUUUUAGAAAAUAAUGGAAUUUCCAUAUUACUCGAGUAUUUCUGCUUUUUAAUAUUUGGAAAAUUUUUUUUGGCGAUUCGAAUUUUUUAAUAUUAUUUGUUUUAUUAGGAUUAAUGUCUAUUUCUAGAGUUACUUUCUUUUUCUCUUUUGUAAUUCUUUCUAUUUUAUUUUUUAUUGUACUUGUUCUAUCAGUCAAAUCCUUCAUUUUUGUUUCUAUCAGUGAAGAAUUUGGCCAAUUUCCAGAUUCAAUUUGACGAAAUGAUUCGUUAAUAAUUUGAUUACUAAUUAGAUAAUCUUUUUCUUUUUUUGUUUCAUUGGAUUCAGAUAUUUCUUUGAAUCUAAAUAAUACAAUUAGAUUUACUUUUGAAAGUUCUUUUUUUAUUUUUUUUAGAAAUCCAAUACUUUUGAUAAACAAUUUUGUGGUUUCUUUUGAAACUCUUCUAAAUAAUUUUGUUUUUCCUUUUAAAAUUUUUAGAGUUAGAAAAUAUUUCUUUUUGAAUUUUCCAAUUUUUUUUUCGAGUUCCUUAAAAAUGGGCUCAAAAAAUGAAGGUCGCUUUCGGGGAGAACCAAAGGGAAGUUCAGCUUCCAUUCCCCAAACUGUUAAAAAACAAAAAUCAUCUUUUUGUUUUUGCUUUUUCAUUAGCUCUCUGCGGGAGGGGUACAGUUUAGAUAUAUGCCAAGGUUUCAGACAAAAAGGAAAUAAAAUUUUGAUCUGAAUCCCGUCUCUUAACCAAUUUUUGAGAAAUUUUGUUUCUGAUAAUUGAACACCAUUAUAAGUACAUUUAAUCUGCAUUUCUCUAUUCCAUUCCUGUAAAUCUUCAGACCAUUCAGGAAGUUGCAAGAAUAACAUACGCCCGAUAUUUUUGGCUAUUAUCAAUGCAGGUAAUAGAAUAUAUUUUCGAAGAAUUGAUUGAGUUAUUAACAUGUAACCUCUUAUUAUUGUGCCAAAGGAAUGGUAUCCCAGGCUUCUUCGAUCGCUAUCCGUGCC
rnacentral:lncRNA from 1 species